rnacentral:lncRNA from 1 species
GUUGAUAAUAGAGCAAAGUUGCUAUUAUUGUGAAUAAGCUAGCUGUUCGCAAAUGCUGUUUCCUUUUUGGAGUUGACCGAUAGUCUUCCUCUUUGGCCUACAAAUGACUCUACAGUCAAGUGUAAUGUUGAAAAAACGUUUAAUCAUAACUGUGAAAAGUUAUUUCUUGAGCCCUGUUCUCUGCUGUCCGCCUGUUGGCACAGGAAUACGCCGCACAGUGCUCCGGCAUCGCUGAAUGAAUGAAUGAAUGAAUAUGAUUGACCGGAGCGUAUGGGAAGCUUGACCUGACCAAGAUGGCGGCCGCAUUUCUCGCUGCGCAGCACCCCCAGCGGGGUCUACCCUUUUAUUAUGUCUAUGCUUCUCACAGCAAGGCAGACAUGUUGAGCAUGCGCUGAAUGCAAUCUGUUGUCAUCCACUAAAAAUUCAUCACAGAGGCAACGCCGUAAGUUCAUAUGCAUAACUACAAGAAUGUUAAGAAUAUAAAUAUUGAGGUUUUGUUAAAAAGGACGACGUUAAUUUACUUUAUUUACAGUUUAAAAGAAACAUUUGAGUCUCCUAAGAGUGUGUUUAAAAUCAUUUAUUAUGUUAUAUUGAGUUGUAUGAGUUGUUGAGACAGUUUUGUACUGUUUAUUUGCAGUUUUCACCGGCAUGUUUGAUGAGGAUGAGUGACAGUAAAUGUCAACUUUACUACGACUCUGUCUUCAUUCGCUCCGGUUUAACUUGGUGGUAAGUCAGAGUUACAACACACUGCACGAGAACACCACAGUAUGUAUCACAUAUGUGUUUGUGUAUGUGUGUAAAAGUGUGUUGGAUUCUGAGGGCAGACUGGUUGAAAACUGUAAAGAAAAAAAAUGAGAGAUAUUGAACUGACAUGGUCUUUCUUCAAGCACUCAGCCUCCACAGAGCAGAGCCAAGUGGUUCUCAGAGCCUCAUCGGUUAUUAAAGACCCCUCACACACAUCUUUUUUUAAUGUGCAAUGCUUUAUUGAUCCAUGCAAGAUUUGUUUCUCACACUGGACACUCUCUUCAUUUCACUUUGAAUACGGCCUGUAUGCUGCUAAAGAGUGCUUCUGUGGUUGACUGAACUUAAACCCCGAGUUGUCACCAGGCCACUCCACCGCCUCUAAUGAUAAAACUCCCCCACUCCUCUGCUUUGUGUAUGAUGACUCACAGCAAGUAUCCAGCACCGCUGCAGAGAAAACAGAAGCUGGAGUUAAAGCAAGGCCAGCAAUAAGUGUUCUCAUAUCUCAGCUUCCUGUCCCAAGAUGCCCUCUGUCUGCUUCACUCUCUUAUUUUAUUUUUCAGAGGCAGUCAUAUCUCUCUGCCUUCUCAGCGCCCUUUUCUGUUUAACUCAUUUUGUGAUGAGCACCAGAGCCUUACAGUGAGACAAACAAUGUGUGUAUGCCUGCUUGUCGUGUGUGUGGGAUACUCUGAGUCUCUACGCUCUCGAACCCAGGCAUGAGCAAUUCUUCAUAUUAUUGCAGCGUGUGCUAAAGUUGCCGUAUCUGUGUGCAAUUACAGGUGCAAAGCAAUCAGUCAGAAUGAGGCCAGCGCAGUGAAUGCUCCACUCACAACUUGUCAUCUUUAUUCUAUCUAUUUUUUGCUUGAAUAUUCACCACAGACUCAUUACACGUCUCCUUGCUGGGUGAAUAAGAUUUGUUUGUGUCUUGUGAGUGGCUUUGUGUUUCAGCCAUAAAACUGUGCGAAGACUGAGAACAUUAUACGUCAGAACGCUGGGGUCUUUGUGAAACACAUGCAGAAAAAGGAUGGUAUAAGCAGCGAAGUUCAACCAAGGUGAUAGCAGCAGAAAUAGCGCCUGAUGUUGUGGCAAAUAUAAUGUUCUGAUAUCAGGAAGGAUGUUUUGACACCAAAGACUAACAUAAAUGGAUUAAUAGGAAAGGUCCGUGUGGACACCGACUCGUUUCCUUCCUCUGCUGAACCUUUUAUCUGCCAUGCUCAGAGUUUCUCUUGCUUGUUCCUUUUUUCUAUCACAGCCUUCUCACUAUCUGGCUUCGUAGCCUAAAAUUGUGUCUCUCCCCUCUGGAUAGUGUUCAUUAGUAUGAUAAAUCUCCCGGGCCUCCCUAAAUAUUCUGCUCAGUUUCUAAUGAGACACGCCCGUGUGCAUGCGCACACACACACACGCAAAUACCAAAACAAAUCUUGCGGCGAUGCUGCAAAGAUCAAACCUUGUUUGGAAUCGGCUAGAUAAUGCAUCCUUUCAAAGUUACCACAAGGCAGGGCCCCUAAGAGUUUGUACACAAAACCUAAUCUGUUCACAUGCUGUGAUCGCAACUAGAAUGAUGUCGAAGCUGCACAGAAACAAGAUCAGCAGAAACUUACCGCACCAUUACACAAAGAUUCAUGUCCGCUUUGGUGCACUGCUUAUACUGAGGACUUACUGCAACUUCCACCACAUCUCUACUUCUCGAAAACUUCAUAAAUGUUUCUUUGGAGUUGUAUUUGUACUGAAUGCCUUCCCCCCUUCAGAGUCUUGGGAUGCUUUUUACACAGGCUAAAGUUGUCUAUCCCCUGAGUUUUCCUUGAACAGAUUAGCCAAUGUCAGAAUACAUGCUGUCACGAAACAUAUCUCCCAAAGCAACCAUGUUGCUAAAAGGCUCAGGAAUCAUGUAGUCUUUGUCGCCCUGUCAUAACCAGCUCCCAUUUGUAAUGUACAAUACCUCCCAUGACCCUGUUACAUUACAGUAAAUCUAACUCAUACAAACUUUGACAGCUAAGGGCCUGGGUGAUUGGAACAUUAUGAAAACUGAGGAAGCAAAGCAUGGGUGGGGUCUCAAAUAAAGAGAGUGAGCCUGUCUGUCACAUUUUUAAUAAAAACACAUCGUCAGGGAUAAAUUGCUGUCUUCGUGUUCAGUCUGGGUUGUUGUCUGUUUGCAUGGGAGUUAUUGCUGUUUUUUUUGUUUUUUUGUUUUUUUCACAUUGUGUUAUUCAUUCGUUUUUACUGGUACAAUUGAGCAUGUGCAACAUUUGACUCCAAGACAAAUUCCCCCUAAGGGACAAUAAAGUGUAUUCUAGCACACCACUAAAAGUAAAUAAACCAAACAAGCAGUGCUUUUGUUUUUGUUUGUUUGUUUGUUUUUCUAAAGAGAGCAGGAUCUUGGACCAAGCCUAUUGUUAGAGCAUUAUGAGUAAAGGCAGGUUUCCACCUUAUUGGUGUCAGUGUCGUAGUCUGUGGAGAGGAGGCACCUCUUCAGGGUCACCUCCUAAUAAAUGACUGAGGCAGAUUAUUAACUUCUGUAUCUCUUCCCCCACUUCUUCCCGCUCGCCGUUCACUAAUACUGCAACUGCACAAGGAGCGUGACCCUUAGCUGCCACACACGUCCACUCAAAAAUCUUAUAUGCACUCACUCUGUUCUGCACACGGACUGUGCCAUUCUUCCUGACUUACCCAGGGCUGUCCAGGGACAGAUUAGCUGUGACACAGUGCUGCCCUGCCACCUCUGACCUUCCAGAAAGUUCUGAGAGCGCAGACCCCUGGCCUACCACUGAAAUCCAAUUACCCAACCAAGCAGGGAGGCAAGAGGGGAGAAAGAAGGCAUGGUAGCCAGGGAUGGUGGGUAGAGAGGACAAAAAUGAGACUGAAAAUGCGGCUUACAGUAAAUUCAUCCAACUUGCUCCGUUUUAAUCCUGGUUUACAUUCUCACUCACUGCCAUUUGUCGUACUGCUUUCUGUCUUUUGCCAUCAUAUACAUCGUUUACCACAGUUUUGCUAUUUUUAGAUUAUGCUGUUUCAUGAGGCCCACAGGCAAAGAAUGAUAUAGAAGAGAAAAAGAUGAGACAGCAUGGCUCGAUAAAGUAGGUGAAACAGAACAAAGGGAUCAGCUAAAUAUUAUUAGAUUCAAGCCACACAAAGUUUCAAGGUAAUCUGAGAUUGCUAAUGGAUUGAAGUAAACGAGGUGGAUGAAACUGUGCUCAAGUUUGCAUAAGCUUUAAAAAGUCUUUCCAUUAGAUUUACAUAUUCAUGAGUGUCUUCUACAAUCUCUACAAACAGUCUUCUGAAGGUUAUAAAAAUCUUUUAUUUAUCUUAUCUGUCCUUGUAUCGAUCACUGAAUCAGAGUUCAGGUAGCUUUUCUCAAAGGUCUGCAGCAGCCCUUUGAUAUAAGACUUGAUGUAAGGGCCAAAAAUAUUCCUCCCAAAGGGUGAAGAGAAGCCCGAUAACAGAAUUAUCUGGAGAGAGAUCUGUUUGCUUGGGAUACAAUAUCACCUCUUAUCCUAGUAAUACUGAUGAAGGAUCCACUGGUCCUGCUUUAAAAUUCAUAUGAAAGAGCUCAGCAGGUGAACGGAUCCAGAUAUCAGGGCCGGCUGUAAAUGGGCCACAGGGUGCUCUUCAGCGGUACUGAACUUGUGUGCAUGCAAACACAAGUAUGAUACCUGAGGCUAAAAACAACAAGGAUGGGAGGAAGAGAAGAAAGAAGAAAACUGCAUAUGAAUUUUCAACCUUCAGUGUCUCUAAAUAUUGAGUAUCUGAAAACAUCUAUCGGUCCAUCUAUCACGAGGGUUGUCACGAUACGAAAAUUUCAAACUCAAUAUCGAUACCCAGGAAAAUACUCGAUACUAUUUUCGAUACUACUUUAAAAGGCUUAAAACAUGAAAAACAGAACAGCAGAUAAAUAAUCAAUUAAAUAAAUUUUUUAAAUGAUCACAAAAUAAAAAAUAUAAAAAAAUAAACAAGACAAUCACUUUUUCAUUUGGAACCCAGGUUUCUCCACUGUGUAAAUGUGUAGUUGGUCCUCACAGAUAUACUCUGCUACAGCUCUGUUUUUAUUUUGACAGCUACAGAAGACUUUGGGUCAAACUUUCUUAAAUAGCAGUGGAAGAGUAGGCUCUGGUUUCUUUAGCAAGCUAAGGGCUGCAUUAGACAUUAACCUCAGCUAAUGGCUAACAACAAAAACAAACAACAUUCACUGAGCAUAAAGCUAACCAUGGCUACUGCAAAACCAUUUACAGUAGUGUAAAGGAUGAACGGGAGCUUUACUAACCUGGCUGGUUUUGCCCUCCUGCCGCCGCACUGGCCAUACUUAACAGCAGUAAAAUGUGGGACAGCAAGCAGGGUCGCAGUGAGGGCUCUCCCGACUGCUGGACACUGUCUGCCGGGUUGGCAGCGCUGCUUGCAGAGUGCGCGCAUUGGGUGCUGCGGGUACGCACACCACAGUAUUGAUACCAUGGCAAAUUAGUAUUGUAUCUGGAUACAGCGCUUAAGUAUCGAUACUUUUCAAAGCAUUGAUACUUUUGACAACCCUAUAUAUCACAGGUGUUAGUGGUUGUGUUCGUUGAGUAAAACUGAAAUGGAGUGUUUUAUUUUGAAAAGAAGCCAGAUGCCUUAUUUUGUGUCUGUGCCCGACUUCCUUUACAGCACAGGUUAAUCUGUGCUGAAUUUAUCCGUAAUUCCCCAGUGUCUGGAAAAAAUAGAACUCUUACGAUUAGCUGCAGAAUCUGGCAAUCUGUAGCGGAACGGAAAGAAACUGGUGAAAAUUGACACAUUAACUUGAAUGGUUAUGAUCAGCUGUGAUUGGCAGAUACAGCCUUUUCGUAGCCAUUACAAAUGCGGUGGAAAUUGGGGGUAAUGGUAGUGCUGACUCAGCCUCAUUUUCAGUCAUCCUACCAGCCUGUAGCCUCUUUGCUAAUAGCUACAGUGUGCCUUCUUGGAUUAAAUCAGCAAUUCCUCUGAUCCAACAAGCUUAUAACCUUAAUAUCUUCAAAAAAAUAAAAUGGUUACAAAAAAUUCACUUCGUGUAUGUUCGGUGCCGAGCUAUUGGGAGUAGGAGCCCAGAUCUUUAGAAACCAGGCUUUAAACAUGUUCAGUUUUUUUUUUUUUUUUGGGUGGUGGUGGUGGAGGGUUCUUUUUGCUCAGUGCAUACAUGGUUUCUGGUUCUUCCAUAGCCAGGCUAAAGUGAGCACUCUUGAACUGCAGGUUAUAGCACUUUCACAUUAUUUCAUUUUUUUAAGACCAGAGGUUGCCACUUUAAUUUGACCACCAUCAACUUGAACUUCUUUGUGACAGUCACCUUUGUCAGAAAAAAAACAAACUUCCCAGCACCACCAAGUGGACCAAACAAGCACUUAGUGAAUAAAAUAUUAAGGUGGCUGUGGAAAAAAUAUAGCCACAAAUAUGUCAGGAUACUAUGCACUAUUGAUUUAUGGCCACAUUCCUCUUUAUAUAUUUAUAUAACACAAAUAUUCUUUAUAUGACAAAACAGGAGUAAUUAGACAUGUCAAGCAGCUGUCCAGCUCUGCUUCUGCUGAUUCUAAGAAAAACAGUGAUACAAAAACAUCUUUAUUCAGAGGUCUGGGUAUAUUUGAAGCUCUUCUUAUUCUAAUCCACAAUUUUAAGUAACAAAAUUAUGGUCUUUUUAGCCAAACACAAUCCUUGUUCAAAUUUAUACAGGACUCUUUUGAAAUUUGUACCUGUAAACUUCAUUUUUCUUGUAAAUCUUAUCCGUGGCUCUUCUAGUGUGCAUGUUCCUGUUCGUGCAUAAACUAGGCAGAUACAGGUCACUGAACCCAGACAAGUUUUUUUAUCCUUAGGAUAUCAUCUGACUUUAAUUCCAAUCCCUUGCAUGGCUUGCCACGAUAAAUGAAGUCAUUCAAAAGCAGCUCCCUCCUCACAACACCCAUUCUAACAUCCAGACACACACAUCGAGUAGAUCACUUUACAGCAAAAUGGUUUAGGCGCUUUCCCAUAUUUUCUUUUCUACCUACCACUAUCAUUUGCUUUAACAGCAUGUCCUCCAAUUAUUUGGCUCCAUUGCGACUUUAAUCUUAUUUUUUGUUAUUUCUUUAUCAUAUUGUGUAUGUGUUACAUCCUCAGAUUCACUGAUCAGUUAAAGUGUUAUUGCCCAAAAAUCUUCAAACUGCCUUUGAUUGUGAGCAGAGAUCCGAUUCACAGAUAAAGUUGAAUUUAAAUUAAAUGGCUUUAGGAAAACAGCGGCUUUGAAUAACCAAAACUAGACCAGGUUUAUCAUGACAAACUUAGAAUAUGAUUAUAACUCAUCAAAAGAAUGAAGAACAAAGAUUUCAUUCUCAAGAUAACUAAUUUGGACAUCUAGUCAAAGGCAAUGACAGGGAUAAGGAGAUGAAAGCAAAAUAGAGAAAAGUUUCAAUGCGCAGAUUAUACCCUUGAAAGAAACUUAAUAAAUGGAAAGCACAAAGAGGAUUAAACACGCAUAUGGAGCGGUAUCCUAUGCGUCUCUGAAGCUUACUUUGUUGUAUCAUUGCAAAAAAACAUCAACAUAUGCCAUAAACGCUAAACCACUCUGAAACAGCUGGCAUGGGAAUGUGUUUUCAAAUGGAAUAAUAGUCUUAUGAUAAUCUGAAUAACACAGUAAAAGUGGAACAAAGCCAGCCUCACGAGAUGACGUGUAUAAUUAGUGACUGGGGAGUCACGCCCAGGGAGGGAUAUUUCCCUCUUUUUCUCUGCAGAGGUUGAGUGAUGAGAUUGAGAUGUGAGGUGUGGGAUUGCAAGUGACACCUCCUAGAAACAACACCUGCUACCUCGCUAACGCGUUUAGCAUAAAGUAAUCAAACUUUUCUCAUUAUCUCAGCAAUGCAAGCCAAUUAGACAUGAUACAUCAACAACUCUGCAAUUAUCUACAAUUACAACUCAUUAAGCUCUGAUUUACUUAUGUUUUAAUUAGCUGGCACCGCACUUUGUGUCGCAGACAAUGUCCUUGCGCUGGUGUUGGUGGUCGUUGUUGCCGCCGUCGCAGCUGAUGGUGUUUGCUGGAUUGUUGCACUUGGCUGAGCAUGGUUUACUCAAGAGGCCAUCAAUCUCCUCCUCACCGCCUCACUGUUGACUCUCACUCCUCCAAUACACGCUCUCUAACUGUAGCCUGGCUUUUGAAUGGCUGCAUGUUAAGUAUCCGUUAGCAUGCUUUAAUUGAUGGUGCUUCGCCUAGAGUAAAUAUUGCAAAGCUCUCUCGCUUUUGAAUUGUGGCAGAGCACGGCAGAGGUGACAAAAGGGUCAAUAAAUAAAUGUGUGCUGGAAGCGCCCUAUUUCUUUAUUCAUCCCACCCAGGUUCACUGACUUCAAUUUCUGAAAAUGAAAAAUAAACCCACAAAGGAAAAUAUAUCUUAUUUAAAAGUACACGCUGUGUCCAAUGCAGUAAAUAAAGCCAAGCAUAUCCUGGUGGUCAAUGUGUCUUGGAAGUAGACCUAUUAUGUUGUGGCUUUUCCUUUCCCGGGCCUUUAGAUUCUUUGCAUGAAUAAAGAGGUGACAGAAAGAGUUGAAUGCAGAGAGAAGAGAGGAGAGGGAUGGAUUUAGAAAAGCUCCAUAAGUGUUGGAGGGAGGGAAAGGACUGCUGGAGCAGGCAAGGAAAGGGAAUGGGAUUGACGCCACAGAUUACCCAUUUGCUGUUCCCCCAUCCUGGUCUGUGAACAAGUAAUUUAGCUAUUUCACUUAAAGCUCCUUUCGCUUCUCCCUGGCAACGUUUUAACCAUUUUUAGUAUCAAUUGUCUCUUGCCUUCAUGACAGAAACAAACCAAACCAAUUUGCACCCUCUUGUUUUUUGAAGAGGCAAUCAGCAAAGUGUCCUUGGUUUGAUUAGAUCCCAAGUGGCUGUCUUUACUUACAUCCAUUUACACACUUUAUUUCUUUUGUUGCCUUUUCCCCCUUAAAAAGGCUUCAAUAGUGCUUCUUCUUAAACCCCACAGAGAUUACAUGAAGUUGAAAAUCCUCAAUAAAUGCUUGACCUAAAUAGUCUAUCCCUCCAUCUAAUAAAACUUAUUCACUGUCUCCCAUCCAUCCUGCCACUCUUUUGGAAAUCAAAUUUAUCUCUGUGUGUGGCCUCCUGCAAGUAACUGUGGUAGUUUUUUAAGAUUUGCACCCCGGUGCUGCACAGUGUGACUCCCACAAUGACAUGUGGCUUUGGCAUUGAUGUUACUCACUCUUUCAACCACUGGGGUGCAUUUUUUAAACAUUCACAACGUCACUUUUUUGACUGUAUCUAAAUUUUAUAUGUGUAUAUAUGUGUGUGUAUAUAUAUAUAUAUUUAAACUACAAAAUUUGGCUUCUAAAAAGCUCUGUUGAGAUAUCGGGAGAAAAAGGAAAAUAGCAGACAGGCAACUGGGGAACAAACAGGAACUUAUUUGAGAUAGAAAAUGUUUUCUUAAUUUCCUGGAGGAACCUUAACACAAUGAUCUCAGAGGGGUUCUGUCUAUUCGCUCAUGCUGAAGUUAUUGUUGGUUAAAAAGCCCUUGGCUCAGUCAGCCUCCAUUCCUCCAAAGCCUUCAGUAAAACUAGCGAUUCAUUGUGUUAGUUGGACUGAAACAGGACUUUUAAAAUACAGGUUAACACUGAAGAAGAAGAAUCAGAAACAGAGAGAUGGAGCGAGAUUUACAGAAACAACAAUAAUUUAUACAGAUGAAGGGUUCAAGUGGCAAGAAUAAUGGAACAAGUCUGUGUUAUAAUUUAAGGAAUGAUGAUGAUAAUUGACUGAUAGUUUAAUUUGUGGCAAUUACAGUCAACAGGUUCAUAGUAGUAGCAACAUAACAGUAAUGAUGUUUGAUGUUUGGUAGGAGAUGAAGGAGACAGUACAGCGAGAUGGAAGUAGGCAUAUCUCCGCAUACAUUUGUCAAUAAAUCAGUUCUUAGCUGGUGCAUGCAAGGACAGUAGUUCUUAAAUCAUUUAAUCUGCUUACCAAACUAUUAUUGUAGCUUGACUUACCUGUACAUUUAAACACACAGGGCCUGAUCUACUAAUGUCCCAAAUAACGAGAGCUAAAUUACGUGUGCAAACUAAAAACUACACAUUCUAUUAGUUGGUGUGUUGCAGGUGAUCUACUGUGAUUGUGCGCUCAUUUGAUAACAGGUGCAAAAGUGGUACAGACUACCCUAUUUAGAUGAGGAUUUAGCAUGUGCUACUGGCUGUCACCAGGGAGAGUCGGGAACAGAAUGGCCGUAAAUGAAAAAUUACGAUGGAAGCCAUGGAGUUGCACCUAUUGUUUUGGGGAAGUCAGCAACUGCAUAAAAAAACUGUUUUGUGUCAUUUACUACAUCCCAAGUGCAUAGGAACUGAAUAUACUUACUCACCCUGUGUGACGUAGCAUUUAACACCUUAACAACACACCAGAAAAACUAUUUUGGGAGAUGUGUCCACUAUUUUUUUUAUUUCCGACAGUCCAAAUAUGUUGACUCCCUCCGUCGUCUGUCACUACACUUUUGCCUCAUUCUUGCUAGUGUGCGCAACACUGUGCCAGUUUGCACCUGCCUUUGAGACAGGCCAAGUAUAGACGACCGCAAUCAGUCCCCCGCCGCUUGUGAUGUUGACAUGUAGUUAUUAUAAGACUGGUUUUUGCUCCAGUCCUCUUUUUUCUGUACAGCUCCGUUUUCAAAAGUUAUUAGGGGGUUCAUUUUUUCUAUGAUUGAUGGGUGUAUGGGUGUACAAGGAUUGCGUCACUCACCCAGGGGAUACGCUGUUUGAGUCGAGUGUCAUCACAGCGACUGUCCCGUUAAAUGCGUACAAUGCUACUGCGCAAUGCGCAAAGGUUUCAGGAAAUGGAGAGAAAAUGUGGAAUUACUUUUUGGCUUAAAUACGUACAAUGGCAGAAGGCGGAACCAAGUUGUCCAUAGUAUAUACAGUCUAUAGCUUGGACCACAAAGCUCACCCAUCACAGGAGACGGAAAGUCUCUCUUCAGACUUGAGUCCACAUUUCCUCUCAUCUCAGCUGGAACAGCUUCUCUUUUUGGUUUUGAAAAGGAUUAGUACAUCUCUUUGCUGAUUACUGUUGUCUGAUAUCUCACUGUUAUGUUGCAGCUGUUAACUUCUUUGGUCAAUUAACUGCUGUGUUCUCCUCAUUCUCGUCACGGCCACCACCAACUGGAGUCCAACAUAGUGUGAAGCACACCUUAUAUUACCCCAGUGUAUCAUAAUUUCAUUAUACAGGUCAAAAUGACGAUAUACUGCUGUAUUCAUUUGGUCCCAUCCUUAAUAUACAGGUAUGACGUGAUGUAGAUAACUGCAAAACAAUCAGCUUUUUCUCUGUACGUCUCAAGGUUAAUCUCAUUAACUGUCAUAGGAUGAGAGCAUUGAUUGCAGACAAUCAUUAGCAAAAAUUAUGAAGAGAUAGCCUGAUUGGAGAGAGAGAGAAGGGGGAGAGCAUGAACUGCUUAAUUACCGCACCCUCAUUACUGUAUUAUUGUCCUAUUCUUAUCUGUCUCACCUUGGGUUUUUUCUCUUCCUUUUAUUUUCCCCUUUUAUUUCCUCUCCAUCCCUUCCUCCUGCAAAUGAGACAAAGCAGUCAAAAUGAUUAGAGGGACAGAGCGAGAGGGAUUAACCAAGGAUACGUGAAAACUACAAAGCUAGGGUUGACAGGAAGAUACACAACAGUUUUUCAAUGAGGGAGACAGAAACAUUGGGGAAAGGAAAGUAUUCUGCAAAAAGUAAUGACAGAAACUUGGAGGCAGAAGAGACUUGAUGAUCUAAAUUAAUUGGCAGCGGUACCCCUGCGGAUGCUUUAAAAUUGCAGAAAUAAGAUUAUCCUCAAUUUAUUCUGACAAAGGCAGAAAAAACUGUCGAACAUCUCAUCAGUCUGCGCAGUGGGGGAGUGUUGAGCGGCACAAUGGAAAAAUUACAUCUUAUUAGAAAUUAAUAAAGCAGAGGAGAGCUAGAGAUGACACUGAGUGACCCUAGACUAACCUGGUUUAAGCAAUUAAGAGAAACACUAUACUCACACCAGAGGAAUGUGCUCAAAUAUUAAAUAUGAGCGCUUUUUCGAGCAAGUGUCGGCAGUUUUAGGAGCAAAAAUGUCUGUUUCUAUACCAAGAAAAUGGUCCAUGUGUUCCAGCCUCAUGUGCUCUGCUUAAUUACCCAACGUUUCCUGUCUUUGUUCCCACAAUUGACAUGAAUCUCAAAGUGGCAGAAGAAUUAAUUAUGCGUAGAGGCGCUAGCAUCCUAAAGUGAACAAUCAGUGAAGAGGAUGAAUGGAAAAAUGGGCCUGACAAGUGAGUACAGGCAACAAUCAACAUCAGAGCCAAGACAAAGCUUAAUUGGACCUACUUCAUGGAUUAAAUUCAUAAAACUGGACUGAACUGAACUGAAAACAGUAUUUAGAUAAACUGCAAAUGUAUGUUUAAAAAGGCAACCUUAACUACCUCUGUUGAAAAGUUCAUCAUUUUCUCUUAUGGUAAACUGUACUCAAUAUGUUUCCAUUUUUCUGUCAUCAAGUUGGGUUAUUUUUUUUGGUGUGUCAUGUAAGGACACUGUCAGUGUCACAGAGUUUCAAGAUAAUAUAAAUAAACUUUGCUUUCAAUUGGUCAAACUUUUUACAGUAAGAGGUCGAUGUCAAUGCUAUUUAGGUGAAACAGAUACCUAACAGCGCUGCAGCAUUAAAGGUUGUUAUUAAUGAUGAAUGUCCUGUCAGGGUGAGUUAGAGCCGUAGACAGGUCUGCUCCACAUACAAUAUUCCUGGAAGACUGCCCGGUAUGAGUAAGGAAGAAGAGAGGUGGUGAAAACAAUGAAUAAGAGUGGAUGAUAGGUUGGGGGUGAAGAGCUGGGAGGAAGGUUGGAAGAUAUUUUUUCGAGGUAGAAAAGGUUAAGGAGAAGAAAACACUAUGGAAUCCUUAAAAAGGUGACAAUAAAUAGUGGGCAGUUGUGAAUUGCAUCAGCCUAUUUCAGAGCCUGCUGAAAGCAAAAUUUGAUUUUGGGGCCCUCUAUUUCUGCCAAUAAUGAUUGUUGAUCAUUCACACAUCUUCACAAAUCUCUUUGAUUAACAUUCCAUGACGUACAAACAUACCUUUAUCUUGGCGUUUUUUCUCUUCUUCCUCUUUCUUUUCUCUGCUCCUGAAAGAUACGUCCUUUUUUGCCCCACAACUACCUUUUUGUUUUUUGGAUUGCUCUUCGGGGCCCUCUAUUGGCCGCAGGGCCCUCAGCAAGCGCGUAGUUCGCUUAUGCCUUGGGCCAGCUCUGGCCUAUUUCAAUCUGCUUAUUUUGCUCUCAACAAAAACUUUGAUCUUACAUUAAGCAAAAUCAUAGGAUACAAAAUAAAAUAAAAUAAAAAAUUCAUCCACAUGCUGACAAAUUCAUUUCAAAUAUAAUUUAUUUCACUGUGGAUAAUUUUUAUGUAAAUAGAUGGAUAAAUGUAUUUAAAUACGAUAAAUGCAACCAUUUAAGCUUAAAUAUCGUGCCAACCAAACAGUAGUGCAUCUAUGAUAUUUCAAUCAAUUAAUUAACAUUUAUUCAUAUUGCGCCAAUUCAUGUUAUCUUAAUAUGCUUAACAAAGAAGAGCUGGUCUAGACUAGACUCUAUUCUAUCUAUCAUGUAUCUAGACUCUAUUUACAAAGACCCAGUGGACAGAUGGGAUAAGAUUGAGCCCAACCUUUGUAACAAACGUCCUUUUAACAGGCAGAAAUCUCGAGCAGAACCAGACUCAUGUAAGAUAGUCAUCUGUUGCUACUGCAUUGGGUUCAGAGAGAGGAUUGAGGGCGAUGCAGAGUUUAUAUUGAUUAACUUGAGAGAGAGACUGAUUGAUUGAUUGACCCAGGCCCGAGCCUGACCUAGCUCCAACUAUGAGCUAAAUUUCUAAUAUUUAGUUGGAAAACUUUUAGGAACAAAAGCUUUAAUUGCUCUGAUUUCUACUUUCUGGUAACAAAAACUUUGGUGCACAUGCAGAAUGUAGACAGACACACAGAGCAACGGUGCGCGUAUGAGCAUGAUUUAACAUUUAACAAGGCAUUCAUUAAUACUUUCAGGUUUCUUUGUUCUUAUAAAUGAUGCUGAAAAUGAAUUUGCUUUUAAAAACACUGGAGAAGUUCUGCAAUUAUUCAUUCUGUUAAAUUUUUCAAACGUUUACUCCGGUUGAAGAUGAAUCAGAGAUGCUUUUUUAAUGGGUGGCAUCUGACUAAGGCGGUAAGCGUUGUGGAAAACCCUCGUCUAUGUUAUGCCUUUAGAAUGGCAUGUUGUGAAAAGCCUGCUGUCAUGUGGAGCAAUAGUUUCAUGCAUACCAGACUUGUAUGAAAUAGAGGAAGCAGCCAAACUGGAACUGCUUAAAAAAUGCAAAUUCUGCAGUGCUGCAUGAACAAAGGAUCAUGGAAUGUCAGUGGGUGAUCAAAAUUACCAUUGCAUACUUGAACUGUAUACCAAAAUGACACUGAGUAGACAUUUUUGCCAUGCAUUCCCACAUACUGUAUUUCUCAAUGUGCUGCAGUUUAAGUAUCAGUGAACAAGCACUUUAAAGCUGUCUUCUACCUCAGGAUCAUGAUUUCAGUCCACUAAGAUUGCAGAGCAGCAUUUAUUUAAAUAAUAAAUCUUAAAGUCACUUGUAAAGACACUUGCAAGACUUGCAACAUCAGAGUCCUUUGGCAUUUCUGACAAAAGCUCCUGUCCGUUAGUCUCUCUUUUUCCAACAGAUUCUUCACAUCUCCUGUCGACAAGUUGGUCCAGAGUUUGCUCUCAUUUUAGAACAUAACUUUUGUUGAGUAGAACAGGAGACAACUGUUUGUGCCAGAGUAUCUUAAUUAAGCCGGCACUUGGCUUCAAACAUUACUCAUUGUGCUGUGAAACUUUUGAUGUGUCAGUGAGCAAACCUGCAACUUCAGAUCUAUUUAAUAAUAGUCACCGUGGGCAGUGAAUCUUUCAAGAACUGAAAACAAAAACACUGGUAAAGGAGCAGGACACUGGGUACAUACUGUAUGAUCUAAAAGAAAGAGCUACUGCUGGCACUAAAGCAGUUAUGAUGAUUGCCUUAAUGACAAAAAAUCAACCUCAGUGCAUCAUCCUGACAGUCCCUGUAGAUUUAUUUAAUCCUUAAAACAGGUGCUGUGCUUUCAAGACUCCUCUGUCUGUGAUGGCUUUACUUCUUAAAAGUCCAUUAGCCUCACAAUCUUGCAGCCUCUACUAAUAACAAGAUUUUGUCUGUUUCCAUUUCUGAAAUAUCAACACUAAUUAAUUAUGUCUCUCAGAGUUUUAAUCUUUGAAAGGCUUACUGAAAUGACUCACAAAGUAUCACUUUGAGCUUAAUAUAGUGCAUAAUAUCCUAGUUUUGUGAAGCCUAAUUUUAAUUAGCAGGGUAAGCUGCACUCUCAUCCUUCAGGAAUGUCUGUAGUUGAGGCUGAAUGUAUAUAAUGAGUACACCAGUGACAACAUGUGUGAAAACUAAUCAUCAUGUCUCAUCAGAUGUUUUACCUGCAUCAUACACGGUUUCACAAAUAAUUAAAUGUGGCAUCUUAGAGGUAGACUGUUAAAAAUGACCAGAAUAUCACAAUAUUAAACAGUUUUAUUUUGUAGUUAAAUACUGUAAUCAAAAGCUCCUGUAAUAUAACAAAUAAUACCUGUAAGGACUACUGUGACACUGGACUUCACAGCAUUACAGUGCAAAUAAAAUACUGCUGUCAAUAUCCUCUGUAAUAUCACAGGAAUUAACUUGAGUCUUGCAGCUGUAACACGAGAGUAUAAAGGUCCUUACACACCGGGAACAACGCAAAUAUACGAUGCGAAAUUACGAAUUAUUCAGAGGCGAAUUUUUACACGCCAGACUAUACACAGCAAGCGCGAUGUGAUUUUGUGACUUUCCGGGAGGAAAGAAAAACGUGACUCGGGUGGAAUCGAGUAGACAAAAAUGGAGUCUACCUCAACUUCAAGUGAUGACGAAUUGGUACUCCUUUUAAAAAUGAUAAGAGCUACCAUGUGCCACAGUGACUAAAAACACAACAGCAGACUGAGUUUUUUUCAGUUCUGAUUAGACACUAGUGUUGAGAUGUCUGUCUGUCAUGAUAGCAUGUACUGAGUCGGGGCCAGUACCAGAUAAGCACAUUAAACUAUAAUCCAUAAAUGUAAGGUAACAACUGAGACCUAAUGGUGCUGUGACAGCAACGUGAUUGAGUUUGAGACAGUGAAAAUACAUAUGGUAUGUUGUAUCUGAACAGGUUAGCUUACGAGCUAAAGUUACUUAGCACAGAUGAAAGUUAAAACAAAGACGUUUAGCAAACUGUUAAAGCACACAAACCAUCGUCAUAUGAGAGAUCCGACGCUAUGACUCUCCACAAGUUGUCCUUCAGGUCGUUUUCUUUGUAAUGUUUGUGUUUUUUAUCAUAAAUCACUCUGUUCUCCGACACGCAAACAAUCAGCCGGUCAGCCAUGUUGGAUAUACCGGUGAAUCUGACGUCACAAGAACAACAAGAAAUCUGAUUGGUCAGAAGUGGACACACAGUAUGUGUACAUUUAGAAAAUUCGACUGUGAUACGAAACAACAAAUGCUGCAAUAUCGCAGGACGGGAAAACAUCACUGAUAUGAACACUUGUAUUGAUAGGAUAUGGGUUCGAAAAAAAAUAAUGAUGGCCGAAAUAAUCGCACAAAAAAACGCUCACGGUGUAAAAGGACCUUAAAGUUGAAGGUUGACGAGAAAUUACUGUAAUAACACUUAUCUUGCAGUUGUAAAACUACAGUGUUAACAUGUAAUUUCACAAAGAAGUCCUGUGACAUUACAGCUGUAAAGUUACAAGAAGUUACUGUGAGGAUAUUUAGCAGUAAGAUUACUGUGAAAGUCACGCAAAAUUUGGCAGGUAAUUAACAGCUAAUUUACGCUGAAAAAUUAAAUAGUGUAAAUGUGCUGAAUUAUUUGCCAGAAAGUGAAUUAGGCAUCAAUUUACCAAGGUUUGUGCUGACAAGACAGAGGUUACAUUUUUCUCUCAUGUAUCAACUCCAAUUAAGGUGGAAAAUCAGAACAGAGGGAAAUUAGUCAUGCCGUAUAUUCAAGGCCUGGGUUACUCAUCACCUUUCUACCUGAGUGUUUAUGCGAGCUAGGCAUUAAACAGACAUUUUCAGUCUUGUGGGGUUUCAUCAAAUAGCUGCUGUAGGAAAGCCGCAAUAGCUGCAAAUACUUUUAAAAAAUAGUUGGCAUUACCCUUUUUUUAGUUUGAAUAAAAGGUUAAAAUCAUUUAAUGUGUAUGCUGUCAAUACUUAAAAUAAAUAAACACUCCGCCUUUCCUCUGCACUUCCUUCAAAACUGUAAAGAGACUUCUCACAAGUUUUAUUUGGCAUUGACAAGCCAAUCUUAAUUUAGGGAUCAAAACAUGGAAGAUAAAUGAGUAGAAUAUUUUAUUUUUUGUGUCUGUUGGGCUCAGCAGUUGUUGAUUCAGCUAACUGUAUGAUCAAAAGGAACUCUCUAGACUCAAUCUUUAUGAGCAACACAUAGAGAGAGACAGAGAUGGAGAGAGAGAGAGAAAAAAAAAAGGCCUUCCUCCCUGUCAAUCACUCUGCACAAACUGUUACACAGUCUUUUUCUGUGCUGUCUGCUCAGAUACUUUUGGCCACUUGUACACACACACACACACACACACACACACACACACACACACACACACACACACACACUCAUUCACAACCAUCUCACCUGUCUCUCAUGAAAGCUUCUUAUGGUAUCAAAUAAAAGGUCAGGGCUAUCAGAGUUCAACUGACAGCCGUCUUGUUUUUAACAGGACCUUGUUAGCCCCCUGCCACUUGACUCACCUCGCAGCCAGUGCUGCAGUGUAGGCAGUCCACUCUCUACGGCUUAGUCAGCAUAAGUGCUGAGGAAGUAGGCAGUAAGAAGUCGAAGACGGCCUUGAUAAAAAAAAGUAUCAUUUAUUUAUUCACACUUCUUUGGAAUGAAUACUGAUUUAUUGGCAAAUUUUAAACUUACAUUUUACCUUCUUACCCAACAAAAAGUAAAUGCAGCUUUUCUUGCAAUCAAUAUAUAGACGUCUGCUGUUCCCAACAGAAUAUGUGUUUGUAAUUAACUCAUAGCCACCCCCUCCGCUCAGGUCAAACUUGUUUAACUUUGGAAAUGUUUAUUAGGUGAAAAAACUUUUACCAUUUCAAAGUCAUGAUCUUAAGUGCAAAGCAAAUUAGUUUUUUUUCAGGUGGAUAAUAUGGGUGUUAGCGCACGGAGCACAGAGAAAGGUGGAUUUAAGGCUCUCUAUUAUUUAAAGGUGUAUACUGGUGUGUACAUGAGCCAACCAAUCAGAGGGUAUUUUUUUAUUUUGUUUAAGAGCCGGCAGAUUCCAGAUUUCAACCCAUCUGAUUUAAUACACUGGGCUCAAACCCAGGGGUGUAAGCAGAGCCGGCCCAAGCCUCAGUGGGGCCCUAACCAAAAUUUGGCCUACAUCAGCAGCAGCAUUAAAAUAUUUUUACUUUAUUUUAUUUUUACUACAAUUUAUAUUUGAUCAUACAGAAAGCAUCACUCAUACAUGCAAAAAACAACAAAUAUUUAUUUUAUUUUUUGAUUGCUCUUGGGGGGGGGGCCCUACUGUCCAUGGGACCCUAAGCUGGCACUCAGUUCACUUAUGCCUUAGGCCGGCUUUCACUGAAAGUAGGAGGUUCUUGCAGGUACCCGUAGACUUUGUAAAAGAGAAGCACACCCAAGUUUAACGAGGUGCCGACUCUGAUGCCACAGUAUCAUCAUCUGCUGCAUCCCUCUCUGUCGAAAAUAAAUCAAUUGCAUGUUGUUUUGUUUUUGCAUUAAGAGUGAAGCAGCUGUCUCUUUAAAAGUCCCCACCGCCUAGGCAACCAGCGCCCAGUCAAAAGUGCACACUGAGCGCUACCACUUAUGAAGUUUGUUUGUGGAAGCAAAUAUGACUCACUGACAAGCAGCAUGGUCCUAUUGGAUUACUACAGUUACAAUGCAGAGUGCAGACUUAUGUGUGGCAACACAGUAAGCAAAUGUAGCCUAAGUACAUUGCAGGAAUGAACGUUUUUUGCGUACCAGCUGUAAACUGCUGUUUAUGUCUUUCUGGUACAGCGUAUCGCUGCGUACCGGCUUCACUUUCACCCCUGCUCAAAUCAUCAGCAACCUUCCUGAGAAAUGAAGCUGCAGAAAUGUUAAUAAAAAACUGCAGUUCCUAGAGUUCCCAUUCCCCAGCUAGCUGCAGAAGCACUAAAAACCACACUCAUUAAAAAAAAGCCAAUUUAAAGGGCAAAAAUUCAUGUGUUCACAGGCUGGUCUGAAUAGGUCAGCGGACAGAGAGUGACAACGGCAGAAAAAACUGUUGUACAGCUCAUCAGUCACUCAUGUCACUGAGACCAUGUAUUAUACAGUCUAUCAAUCAGAAUGAUCAUCCUUCAUCCUUGUGCUGCUUUAUAUGUGGAAUUUCCCCCCUGUGGGACUAAUAAAGGAGUAUCUUAUUGGCUUAUUUAAUGUAUUUUCUUCCAUGGUGUUCAUGAUGAUAUAAAGCAUAAAACCCAAAUCCGACACUUAGAUCCCUCAGUGGGUGCUGGAUCCAAAUACUAAAAAAGAAAAAAGAAAAACACAUCCAUAAAAAGAUCCCAUUCAAGGGUUUAACCAACACACUUGUGGUCAUGUGAAAUACAUGCUGACAUUGACAUGAUCAAUUACAAUUAAAAUAUAAUAACUAGGAAGUUUUAAGUAACAUGGACAGAUCACACGUUUUCAAGGUGUGGUUUCAUGUGCUAUAGGUUUUAUUCAGACUCUUACACAGCACAAACACAAUGAUAUAACAUUGGUGUAUUUCUUUCAAGAGUGUGUUCCAUUGUUUCAGAGAAAAUGCAGGCAAUUGUCAGAACUAAUUUUCAAAGUUUUACACAGUUAGAUUAGCCACAGGUGGGAUCAGUUAGAUUUUCAAUUUUGUACAUUGUGAAAGUGGCAAUAUAAUUAUGUGCAUUACUUCAUUAAUUUGAUAAAUAACCAAGUGCUAAGAAUGGUUUAGAUUUUCUUUGGAAAGUAGAGAGAGGGCAAUUUGUGAAUUAAUGGGAAAAUAGAAAGAAACUGUGGAAAUAAGAAGAGUACAAUUAACUGUGAGUCAGCUCGCCUGUCUAACUGAAGACUUUCAUUUCAUAACCACCAUUUCUGAAAUGUGACACCUGUUCCGACAAAGAGAUUGCUAAACAUAAAACUCCAAACAAAUUACCUAUUAAUUGAGGUUAUUAUCCAUGACUCUUGAAGGGCGUGGAGAGUGAUUAGCUAUGUGAAGACUUUUUCUUUUGUCACAGGAAAUUCAAUUUUAAGGAGUAUGAUUCAGUCAAGAAUGUUUGAUUUAUGGGCCAUAACAGAACAGAGCAUUCAUAGAUUUUAAUUGAUUUUUAAGCUAUAGUUGCUGUCACCAACAGUUUGAAAAAAACAGUUUUUAUCUUGUUUGGUGAAACAGUAUGCUCUAAGUUUGGCCCGUGGAGAAAUCUCUGUCAAAAACAAACUGAGGCAUGUGUCACACCCCAACGUGAAGGUGCAAGGGCCCACUCAAUGCCGCUUGCAGCUUUAAUUUUUUUCUGUUCUUUUAAAAAGCUCAAUAAAAUAAGUGCAUGGUCGGGUUUGUAGCUUCGCAGUUAAAUUACAUGCCCCGUGUACAAAGGCUAUUGUGCUGGGCUCUAUUUCAACCGGCAGAGCGUCACCAAAUGUCAGUCCCCAUUCUUUCUUCCAGCUUUGUAGGCUAUCCAUUGACUCAUACUUUCAAUCAAGGCAAUGACGGCAACAUUUUAAAAAGUAAUAAUAACUGUGUGGAUAGUCAUCAUUACUAAUUUUCAGAGAUCUACUUUCUUUAUUGUGAAAUAAUUGGUGCAUUUAUGUAAUAUUCAAAUUGAUGUUAAGAGCUACUGAGGCUGAAAUGCAUUAAGCUAAAAGACUUUGUGAAAUGUGGGCAGUACAGUGGCCAGAAACACUGAACUUUGGUUAACACCAAUCAUCUAGAAAGCAUCUGCACCUUACACACAGACACGCCGGCUCCCAUAGAUCAUAUACAGUAUCAUUGUAGGCAAAGGACAUCAUUUUAUGCCUUUCCCUUGUUGUCUUUGAUCUUAUCUCAAUAACAUCUAUUUCAUCUCGUAUGCCUGCUGUGAUCUUGUUUAUCCUGUGUUUUUGCACUUAUGCAUGGCGGUUACAUCCCUCAUGAAAAUACACCUGAUAUGUACUGGUCAGCCCAACUGCACUGACUGUGAUUUCAAAAUGGCCUCAAAUAGAUAUGUGAAUAGUGAAUAUCCAUCCAAAUUCUGGACCAGUUUGCAGUGACAAAAGACCAAUUUGCCCCAAAUAGCCUUCUCCCAGGUCAUCCCCUUAGGGUAUUCCAAGGGGUUCCCUGGAGAGAUGGGAUAUGAUCUCUUCAGGACAUAUCGCUCUAACCUGGGGUCUCCUUUUAGUUGGAUGUAACCAGAAACCUCCAGGUGCUGAGGAGGAAUCCUUAAUUGCGUGAACAACCGUGGCUCUUCUUGAUUUGAGAGAGUAGUUGCUCUACACAGUUCCCCCUGGACCCUCCAAGCUCAGGACCCUUUCUUCAAGGCUGAGCACAGCAACCUUUCAGAGGAAACCAGUUUCAUAUGAUUGUAUUCGCAAUCUGGUCCUUUUGCUCACCAGCCCAUGACCAUAGAUGAUGAUUGGAAUGUAGGUCAGCCAAUGAAUUGAAAGCUUUGCCUUCAGGCUUGGCCUCCUCUUCGCCACAGUGAUAAGAUACUGCUGCUGACACUGCACCGACAAUCUAAUGUCGAUCUCAUCAACUAUUUAUCUCAACAAGACCCCAUGAUACUAAAACUCCAUCACUUGGAGUACAGAUGAUAACAUGAGGCCUUCAAACUGGGAAGCCCUCUUCCCCCCGGGUUAUCUUAUCUUGACUUAAAUUAUCAUUGCUUAUCCUACCUCCAUGAACCACAAGCAUAACACUUUCAGCAUUUAGCUGGUAACAGCAACAAGGAGAAAUUUUCAUUGUAAUAGACAGAGACUUCCACAGAACCAGAUUAAUGUUAAAUCAAGUGGGAGUGCAUUGGGCUUGGAAAGGGAAGUAGAGGGACACACUGAAAGAAAGAGAUGGAUAGAGAGUUCAUCCAUGUUUAAAACAACUGAAGUUAAGUGUAUCUCAAGUGUAUACAAUUACUAUUACUAUGAGAAUCAUAGAGGAGGAACUGGUAAUGAAGCAUCUGGGUCAAACAGCUCCAAAAUCAACUGUAAGGUUAAACAAAAGUGGACAGUAGCAAAGUAAAUUAACUUGAGCUCAGUAAGAUAUGAUGGUGUCUGACCAUAAGGAGUUUCACAGGACACGAAAAAGGAUUUUAAAUCCUACUCUAGACUCUUUAAGGGGGCAAUGAUGAAAAGCACACAUUGGAAAGAUAUACUCUAUUUUCCCAGUUCUGCAGCACUGGAGCCGCAGCUUUUCUGUACCAGCUGAAGAGCCUAUAUAGAGUUAGGACAGUCUGAUAAAAGGGCUUACUGUGAUCCAACCGAGAGGUAACUAUGUUUUUUGCACCAUUUUGAGGCAGGAUGUGUUAUCUUUCCAAUAUAUUGAACUGCAUAGGAAACUGGAGUGACCUGUUUGGUGCAUAAGCACAAAUUAUGGCCUUCUCUAUAACUUGUAGUUGCAGAGAGCCAAAGUCUUGUUCACCAGAAAGAACCCCGAGGCAUACAACACUCAGCCAGGGGCUGUAGAGCCCGCCUUAAGCCUCUCAUCCUGGGCAAAAUCCAGAAAAGGGGAGAGUUGAUGUUACUUAAAAUGCGUAGACAUAUUAAACAUGCAUCCCUUUAUGAUAUUUGGAGUUUCUGUUUGAUUUUGGUGAAGGACAUGGAAGACACGUAAGAACACCAUGGUAUGAUGCCAUGCCAUUAAGUUUCAAGUUCAAUUUUACCUACCGCCUUUACAGCAUUAAACAUGAUUCAUGGCUGUAAAAAGGCUAACUUUCUCUGCUUUCUGCAUAAUGUGCCUCCAAAGAGACUUUUUUUUCUGCAGCAGUGCGUGGGUUCCUUUGUCCUCUGAUAUGAAUAUGAGCUCAUAACAUUCUGUCAAAGUCAUCUCUGCACACACACUCCUGUUCAUAUUCACUCUAUAGUCUACAUCAAAGAACUAAUGGGAUUACAUAAGGACAGUGGAAAGUCAACACUCCAUUUAAGAGAAUAGGGAAGAAAAAAAAUCUCAAAACUCAAAGAUUAUGUGUUAUUUCUUGAGUGCCAUUCACUCUCUAGUCUGUAAGAAAAUAAUGUUCUCACCAUAAAGAUGGUCUGGUCUUUUUCCUAACUUUAUUUCCAACAACUUACAUCUCCUCAUAAAGAACUGUCUCCCUUGUUACAUGACACCUUUACAACUUAAUUGAAAUUGUUCGUCUUUUAGUCCAAGAAUUCAGUAAUUCAUAAAUGUGAGAUUUCAGAACCAUUUAUAUCAUGUGAAGUCAGAGUUCUGAGCUGUGGUGCCUGGCAGAUAGGGUGCAUGGGUGUUGAUUUAUCACUUACAACAAGGAGAGUAAAUUCCAUUUCUUCUCCUUCUUCAUUGAAUGAGGAUAAAAAGACAGUUUUUUUUCUUUAAUCAGGUAAAUAAAAUAAAUGCGCUGCAGUAAACAUAUAUUUGAUCAAAAAAUGUCCUCUGUCUAGAGUUGCUGAUCAAUCUUAAAAGUGUGGGGCGCGAUCAUUUGCUCUGUAGUUAUCCUAAUUUGCAUGAUGGAGCUUCAAAGGAGGGAAAGAGGGCAGCCCCUUCAUCUGGUCAGCGGGAUGAGAAGAGAGAAAGGUUGAUUAAGGAGAGGGCUGACUUGUUUUGAGUCUUUACAGAUGCCAGUGAUCUUGGGAAGAUCGGCAGCAGGAACUGAUAGGAGAUGCAGGAAGUAAAGUAAUAAAGUUUUUCUUAUUCUUAUUCUUAAAAUAUACUAGAAUUGAAUCAUUUCACUCCUGGCUUGUUUGUGCAAAGUCUGUCUGUCUGAAAAAGAUGUACCUGAAUCUGUCUGAAAGCUACUUCUGCAGUCCCCACAACUUACUCAAAUCUCUUAUCUGCUUUUCUGACUGCUAGUAUGGGGCCGCUGGUAAAACAUCUGCAUCCAGGGAGCUCACUGUUUGUAUCAGGCCAGGCAAGGUCUACUUCAACACUUCAGACUGUUGUUAAACAUCAUUUGACCCAAUCUGCAGCAUGAUGUUCUUCACAGUUGGGUGUUCAACAACAUGCAGGAUUCUCUCUGCAGAGCCAAAGACCAUAUCCUUUGUGUAACAGAGUACUUUGGUGUUUUUACUGAAAAUCAUUUGCACAUCUUCUGUGGUGAUGCCACCCACAAUCACAGCUUGAGGCCAAGGCUUCCCGUGUAGCUUUACCGUGUCUGGGAUGUUUUCAUUCUUACCCUGCUGCCAGCGGAUAAAGUUUUGAUAGGGAUAGUGUCCUGUAACUGUGGAGCAAAUCUGUUCUGCAGUUUCACAUUCAGUUGUUGGGAAGGCUUGUUGCUUACCUCUCAUUUUUGCAGCUGCUCACAGCUGUGUCCUAUCCACAAAGGGUUAUGGGUAGGACAGGAGGUUGAAAAACGCACGGGGCAGUGUUCUCCGCCUGAUGUUCUUACUUUCUUCCAGGGAAAUCAAUCACUUUUAGGCCUUACUCUGAGAUAGUUCCAAGGAGGACUUACACUCGCAGAUUUAUUACACAGCACAGAACCCUCCUGUUUGUUGGUAGCUUUAUCUGUACUCUUUAGCCCUGUUGCUUGUUCUGUCUGAGAUAAUGGUAAAGUUAUGCCGUUUUCACACAGUCGCUUAACUUCCUCAUUUACUUCCAGGCGGUGCAUUUUUGGCCCUGUACUGCAGUCUUCUGCUGCAGUUAAUGGUAGUCAUCUGUAGACAGAGGAAUUAUUUUGAUGUGACUUACCUUGAGCUGUCAGCCUAUUUUAAAACUUUGUACUUUGGUUUGGCCCCAGUCAUAUCGUGCUGAUGGGGCUCACAAAAAUAUUGAGAAAUUGCUCCUUUGUUGAGCAAAAAUGACAGUCCUAUUGAUCUGUAAAUGUCAAAGAUCCUCUGUUUAUUACUUCUAGUCAAGUAAAAAUAAAGAUAGCGACAAAAAAUGAAUAAAAAAUACAGCAAUACCGAGAGCAAGCACAAAAGCCUGUGAUCCAGGAAUGUCUGUUGUUAGAGCUACAUAUGGAAUAUAUUUACUCUUAUUUCAGUUAUAGUUUUAUAACCCCAGUAUGUGAGGCCAGGGCCUAUUUUGUUUUAGCCCCCAUAGAAAAAUACACACAGUACACAUAGUUAUACACAUACACACAUGUUGCAAUAUACACAUAAGUAAAAACACUGACCUGCUAUGAUAAAAGUAAAAACCAAAAGUCCACUGCCAAGUUUUGGAAUUGAAUGCAAACUACCAGGCCACUGCAUUAGUAUUCUUGUUUGUCAUUUGCCUUGUUUUAAAACCCAUAUUGGUUUUACUAAAUCCUUUAUUUUAGCUAAUAUAGUCUCCGGCUGCAGUGCAAAAGUCCUGAAAAGCCCAAAGAGAAAACAGAAGUUGCAAAUUGUUGUCACAGAUGUGCAAAAUGCCAUAGCAACACAACUGUCCACAAAAAUCUUGUACCUCUUCAGUCAGGUCUUGAUACGUCUCUUAAAUAUCUAUUUUUACACUCUAUCAGGAAACCCUUACUUUGUUUACGUACUGACCUUGCCUGAUACUACAUGAACCGAUCAUUCAUGGCAUAGAUUUGUUGGAAAUCCAAGAGGUUAUCGCCCUUAAAACUUGUAUUUGUUAAUGCUCCACUUCAAUUGGGAGACAAGUUCAUCACAUCAUCAUAAGGCUCAGGAUCCUGUUUCAUUGUUGUUGUUGUUGUUUUCUUUUUGUAAGUGUUUUUGUCUUUACCCUACUGAUGUGCCCUUGAACACUGAUUUAAAAACUAACCAUGAGAGGGAGUGAUUGGCAUGUAAUCCUACACACUGAAACCCUGCAGUAGAGAUAAGUGACAGUGGUUCAUGAAGUGCAACACACACUAACGCGUACACACACACGCUAACACACACACUCACUCACAUUAUGGUAAUUGUCAACAUUAGUAUGGAAUUACUGUCAUCGCCUUCUCCAUCAUUCCAACAUCCAUCUUCACCUGUAUCAUCAUCAGCAUUAUAAUCACCUGAUGUCAUUGUUAACACCAGUGCCAACUCUAUCACCAUAGCAACUUCUAGUUGCCAAGAUGCAGGGACUCAGGGUGUCAGACAUCAUGAGGUGAUUUUCAAACACCUUAUUAUGCCUCUCACACAUGAUAAGUUAUUAUUAGUUAUCGACCUAACCUGUCUUUAUCAUCGCACAAGUACAAUGGAACAAUGUGAUAGCACCAUUAAUUUAGUCAGUGGGAUUUGGCUAUUAAAAAUUACACCUUGGUACCAGGUAUAAACUUUAAUUAUUAACUACAGUAAAGAGGUGUGGAUGGAUCACCUCUCACCUGAAGUGGUUUAUACAUGCCACCUUUUUUGUGUUGAGUGCUUUAUGCCUGUCUAUGUAUUAGUUUCACAACCUUUAGUAACUUCCCCUAGUUCCUGGUAAAAGUCUACCAUUACAGUGUAAUAACACAUGCAAUGACAUAUUUGCAGCUCGGUGAAACAGAAAACGUGAUUAAAUUGGUCCUUUUGCCUUAAAUGACACUGUGACAGGACUCAAGGGAAAGAUUAAUAAUCCUUUUCCAGUAAUUGGAAAGAACUGCACCAGUGUUUGAGCAGGAAAUCAAACACAUCUAUUCCAAGAGCUAUCUCUAGUAUCCGUCUUUUUGCAUUCAUUAAUUUUCAGACAAGUGUGGAGUUUUGUUUUUUUUUUUCCUCUUUUUGUAAAACAUCUAGUCAAGUUUCUGUGCUGGACAACCAAGUCCUAUGCAUGGAAGUUCCACCUCAUAGCCAACAAGACUUAAAUGAUUUGCUGCCUACAUUGGUGCCAGAUAAAGCAAACCUAUAGAGCUCUGGGGGGGUCCAUGUCAGAGCUUUUUUGGCCCUGACCAUAGACUGUAUGUACUAUGGACAACUUGGUUCCGCCUUCUGCCAGCAUACGGAUUUAAAGCCAUUUUUUUCCAUUUCCUGAAACCAACAUUGCGCAGUAGCGUUGUAUGCACUCCGCCACUUGCACAGUAGCAGUGUUCGCAUUCGGCAGGAGAGUCGCCAAGAGUCGCUGUGAUGACGCUCGGCUCAAACAGCGUAUCCCCUAGGUAAGCUACACAAUCCUUGUACACCCAUUGGCUGUAUCAAGUGUCAAUCAUAGAAAAACAUGAACCCCCCAAUAACUUUCUUUUAUGACCUAUACUGCAGCCCACCGCCAGAGGGUGCUGUUCUCGGGGUGGCUUCACCCAACAAGGAGGCAGACGCUGUCCAUUCUAUAUACAGUCUAUGGCCUUGACAAAAUAAAAAAGGGGGCGGGACAGGUUAUCAUGAUGUUAUGGUUGAUAAGUGCACAAACCCAAUUUGUGGUUUCAAUCGGUUUGGACCGCCCACAGGGUCUUUGAUUGGCUCUGUCGCAGGGCUGCUUUUUGUGUGUGAUUGGCUAUCCCUGCUGUCAGUCAUUCCAUGCCCGCCGGACUAGUGUUUUGCAAGUUGCUCGUGUCAGCAGAGUCGGCCCGUGAACAUCGCUAUUGGCUGAUGUAAGUUUACAAGAAGGCAGCGUUUAUUUUCCUUUCAUAAUGUCACAUUCAUCAGAGGUUUUUAUUUACAUCCCUGUAUCAAGUUUGUACUUCCAUCCUCCCACUGUGUGCAGGAUGUGUUGUUUGCUAGGCUAUAUAUAUCUGAACAGUACUCAACAUUAAUCAAGUCACAUGUGUUCCGUUUGAAAUCAAAAUUUCAUCCAUGGAUUAGUGUAUAUCUGCAACAAAAUUGUGUUUUUUUUUUAUCUUAAUUCAUUUAUUCAAAUAAGCCUAAAAGUAUAGAGUAUAAGAAUGUAAACUGUGACAGAUUUUUAAAGUGAUUUGGUUUAUUGUUUGGAAAUUGCAUACCCAUCUGUAUGAAAGCUGAGAAGCUUUCUGGGCUGUCAGGAAAGGAAACAACGGGUUAAAAACCAUGACAAGCUCUCAAUAGGAGUUUCCAUAGCAGAACAAUCAAUACUGCUGGUUCAAACAGAGAGAGCUGAAGUAUGACAGUUAUGUGUUUGUGUGUAUGUGUGCGCACACGCUGAGACGUGACUGACUCUGGAUUUGACUCAGUUCAGUGCAUAACAGCAAGAAACUGAGUAGUGGAAUCAUUAUUUUGACAGUUACAAACCGUCUCCACACAAGCUCACAAUAUCACGAAACACACUCGUGCUCUGAUACACACACACACACACACACACACACAUUCUUGCACACACAAGUACAAAAGCCAGAAUGUAAACAGACAAAAUCACACAAAUACACUGCAGAAUAACAGUUUCUUCAUAAUGAAGUAAACAUCAGAUGAUUUUUUUUUUUUCCUGUGUAAUACGCUGUAUGUACGCAACACACACCCUCGCAAUAAUGUGCACACCCAUGCAGUCAACAGUUGAGUUCAUCACACACGCAACCUCCCCCAGAGGCCAGAGUUCUUAACCUCCUCACAGUCUGCUGGAGCAACACAUCGAUCACUGUCCUCUGUAAAGACAAUGAGGCGAGAAUGAGGAGAGGAGAGAGCACAGUGAGAGGGGGAGGACAGGAGAGGUUUACAAAGCACUGUAGAAGCACUGUGUGUUUGACCUCCUGCAUAAUCAGAAAGCAAUUUGACAGAGACACUGAGUUUUAUUGUGUAAACGCUGGCUGUCGUGGAAUUCUACCGCAUGCCUCACUGUAAAAUGAGAAACAACCACUGCAGACAUUAGCUUCAGCAGCUUUACGAUUACAACUCUCAAAACAAAAGAGGACAUUUCAGCGCUGAUUGUAUUAAUAGUUUGGUAAAGCAUUGUGACAAUGAAUAAAUGAAAUGCAACAAAUAUAGAACAAAUAGUAUUUCAAAGGUAGGAAAUGCUUAAUUGAAAGAGAAAUGAUAACUUUUCUGUAACUGAUUGUGUGUAGAAGUGCGUUGUGAAUUUUGAUGGGUAUUUGAACCAAGGAUAUACAAACCUGCUGCAGAAGCACUGGAAACUGUGAACACACACAAGCCAGUUUUGGUUUGAACAGCUCAGGACUCUCAUGGCACCUAGUGUACAGGAAGUGAUUUUUCGUUUCUUGUUUAUUUCAGAGUUAUUAAAGUUACAUGAUUGGCUGUUUUGACUGACAAGCAGGCACCCCAUAGCCAGUUGUGAGGAGGCUACAGGCCUGUCUCUGAUGGGUUGAGUCAGCAUUUUCAAGAGUGCAGCCACUGCCAAUAGGCUUCAAAACUCUGCUUCAGAAACAAAUGAAUGACGUCACCAUCCUUUUAUUAUACAGUCUAUGAGAUUCACUUAUGUUUUGACUGACUUCUUAGGAUUAAGGAAACUAUUAAUAAUGGUGAACUAUUAUUGACUGACUCUUAGAUUCUAAAAGGCUUGGACUCUGGGUUCAUUAUGAAUUUAUGAAGCAAAAUUUCAUAUUAAACUUAUUAAAUUUCCAUGUACAUGUCACACCAUUUUGAGUUUUUGGUAAGGUGUGACAUACAUUAAAAAGUGCAUGACUUUGAAUCUUUACGUUUUGUUAAUAAUUGUGAAAAAGUCGGUUGAAAACGUAGACUGUAUAUAGAAUGGAGAGCGUCUGCCUCCUCAAUGGGUGAAGCCACUCCGAGAACAGCACCCUUUGGUGACAGGCUGCAGUAUAGGUCAUAAAUCCCGCCUCUCUUAAGCUUAUGGAGCUGUGGACAAAAGUCUGUACAGCUCCUUUUUUAAGGGUUGUUAGAGGGUUCAUGUUUUCUAUAAUUGACACUUCAUACAGCCUAUGUGUGUACAAGGAUUGCGUAGCUCACUCGGGAUACACUGUUUAAGCCGAGUGUCAUCAGCGCGACUCUCCCACCGAAUGCGUAUGAUGCUACUGCGCAAGUGGCGGAGUGCGUACAACGCCACUGCGCAAUGUUGGUUUCAGGAAAUGGAGAAAAAUGCGGUAUUACCAAGAGCUUGUCGACUUCAAAUCUGUAUACUGGCAGAAGGCGGAACGAAGUUGUCCAUAGUCUAUGGGUGAAAACAGUCUGAAAAUUUUUGGUGCAUCUUUAUUGCAGAUUGAGUCUGAAGUGUAAGUUACAUCAGGUUUUCUAUCCCCCUUAUGUGUUUAACACCGACCUGAAAAGGUUGUGUGUUAAACCAUCCUCACACUGACCUAGAUUUCUCAUUUAUCCUCUUGUCCAGCAUGACAUGAUCAAACAUUUGAUCAGGCAGUGGGGUGAAUAAGAGAAUCUGAAUAAAUUGGCAAGCAAAAAACAAAAUUUUGGACUGAAAUUUAGUAACAAAAAGAGAAAAGAUGAUGAAUAUUGAAAAAAGUAACAAUUCUUUUAUGAAACAGGGAGAGCAGACUCAGAAAUAAGGCAAAAGUUGAGCAGAAAUGGUACUAAGGAAAAAAGCAGUCGGUUUCACAGGGUCUGGAGAUGUAUUUGAAGCAUAGGGCGAGCAGAAACACGUGGUCGUUUAAUAAGUGGGCACUCCUGAACUUAACAUUUCAGGGGCUGACACCUGUGGAAAUGGUGUUCAAACACUUCCUAGCUGCCAGGCCUGCUUAUUUCAGGACACAGAAUGCACCAAAAGACCUAUUUGUUAAAGUCCUGUGACACCGAAAUUGGACUUUGAAGUGGUCGACAGGUAGCGAGAAAAUUUAAGUCGAGGAUUUUGUGGAGAAUGGAGGGUUAAAGAAGUCAAGUGAAAAGAGUGGUAGAGAGAAUGAAGUGACGGAAAGAAAUCAAGUUUGUCCAAGGGGUUCAUUGGCCAACUGUUGGAGACCAGAAUGAGAGUGAAUGGGGAGUAUAAAUCACACUGAAAGAGAACAGAUUGGCCAAAAAUGCAGUUAAGCAAACUGAGAAAAAAGAUGAUGGAAAAAAGUCAAGAUGGGUACUUUUAAGGAGAAUUAAGUAUGCAAAGAAACCGAGUAGGAAUUAUAUGCAAAUGUAUAAAACGAUAGUCGAAAUGCAACAACAUGUCGAGGGGAAAAGAAAGAAAAAAAAAGACUCAAUGUCCCUGCAAUCACAAGUUAAUGCAUCAUCAAAUUAGAUUAUGAUUAUCACACUCAUUAAACUCUCAUUAUUAGCGUCGCAAACACAGAUGCCACUUUAUUUGUCUCACUCAUGUUUCCUCUCUACUACAUUGUAUCCUAAUGAUGUUGUUUAUGUAAGGAAACCAAUCAGAUGACCUCCCAGAGCCAAAUCCCCAGGAACUUGGAAUCUGUUAAAGAGAAACUAUCUACUUGUAGCUUUUCAGGCAACUAAUAGCAUAUGGCCUUGAUUUACAAAACCAUUAAAAGUAAGAAAGGUCUUUUUCAGAUUUUUGAGCUACGGUGAGAUAAGGUGCUAGAGAGGGCAAUAGACACGAGCAAGAAAAUGACACCUUUCUAUCAUGGCCAAGUAAGCUGCACCAGUCACCUUGAAGCCAAUGGGCCAACAAAAGGAAAAAAAACGGAAGAGAAAAAAACAGACACACUGGAAAACGAUGUGAAAAGAAAAAAAAAAGCAGAUCCUGGAGACUUAGCACAAUGAAAAGAGAAAAAAGGGCAUGAAUGGAGAAAACUAGUCAGUGGAAGCACAUCUCUAUCUGAGAGACUUGGCUAAAUGAGUAACUUUACUUGGUUAUUAGCAGAGAGACCAAAAAAACUAAAAUAGUGGACUAAGCAAGGGAUUAAAAAAAGUUUGUAUGCUGAACUAGAGUCCUUAGACUUUGAGGGAGUUCUGUUGCUCAAGAAGAGGCAUUCAAAAGACUAACAUCCCUGAAAUGGCGACUCCUGGGAUUCACGACAAGGCUUUGCUCUAAAUAAACACCAAUGGAAGUGCUUAGAAAGGCAGUGACAGCCAUCUACAAUCCAUACGAAUCUAUAGACUGCACCAAGAGGUCUGCAAACGGAAUCUUGGCUUUGGCUGCUAAUUACAUUUAAGUGGUCAAAAGAGUUUUGUUUUAGGGAAGUCUAAGGGCCAAUCCCAAUUGUACCCCCAAGCCCUUGUCUUACCCCUCAGCUCUCGGUUUUGCGCAUUCACGUCAAGUAGAGGGGUAUCCCAUUUCUCUGUAAGGUUAAUGGAAAGGGGUAAGGGCAAGGGGUACACAGCCCUUGAAACUAAGACAAACCGGUACCUCCCUUGAAAGCAGGGGGUAUAAUUUUGACAUGAUUGUCAAAGUAGUGACAUGUUUUUUUUUUGUUUUGUUUUUUUAAAUCAGAUAUUCAAUCCUUUGCUACUCCACAUAAAUAUUAGCUAUAUUUUGAAUUGUCUGCGUUUUGAAAUCAUGCAUUAUGACUGACUAUCUUACGAAGCUAUAGCUAUUGAGAGCUACGCUGAUGUCAGACUUGGAUGAUAAUUUCACAGCAAACGGCAAGGCGUGAUGACGCAGCAGGAAUCGAGUGGUGUCUCAUUUCUUAGCGGAAUGUUUUUACCCCUUCCAUGAGGAAACAUGCCCAAUUCAAAAAUCUUGAUUUAGGAGUAAUAAGUAAUAUGCCCAUGUUGGAAAAUCCAACUCUUACUGGUCAUGAAAUUCAUCUUUAAAACUAAGGUACUAAAACAAAGAUGUCCAUCUUCUUCUGGAUAUUCCUUGAAGAUUGCAGAGUUUUGCUGCCUGGGACUGGUAAAAACAUAUAAGUUUAGUUUACUUUAAUAAGGCAAAAUUUAUGAGAAUUCCUUUGUAAUUUCACAUCUCUAUGUCAAUAAGCAAAUAUCAACAUUUACCAUACAAUCCUAGGUACAGGUUGAACCUGUAUAUAAGGUGCAAUCUGAACUUUGUUUCUGCACAAAGGCUUCCUUUGCAGGAAGCUUUUCAUUGUGUUAAUCAAUGUACGGUUUCUAUGCAGAUGUGUAGCUCUUUCUAUCACCAUUGUCACAUGUAGAACAAAAACAAAGGGAGGACCCAUUCAAGCGCAGACUGCAAUAGUUGAAUAAACAAAAGGGGAGGAAAAAAAAACUUUAAACUUAAGAAACAAAAUGCAAAUCCAAAAAACUGCAAAAUUAAUAACACUCCAGGCAGAAAAAAAAACAAGAAUGCACUGGGACAACACAAGGAUGUGAGGUAGGGCUGCACACACAUGGACACAUGGGCGACAUCAACAGGCUUAGAUGAUGAACCAACAAGUAAGGAGGGGAGGAAACACGUUAACCAGCAACUUAUACAAGAUCAUUCUGCUGCUACUGGUCUUUAGUUGUCAUUGAGGAGUUUUUCUACUCAAACCAGCACUCUACAAGGUUUAUUUGUUAACAAGUAGACCACAGUUUUCUUUAAAUGCAUGACUAUGACCUAAUGAGGGAGGAAAGUGUUUUUAAAAGAAGUGGCGCUGCUAGACUCUUCUUCACUGUGUACCCAGCAUGCUUUGUGAAUUGAAAAAGUCUAUGCUUUUUCAAGAGAUGCCUUCUGGGCAAAUACUUUUAAAUAGAAAGCCUGCAACUUAUACUGGUUGCAAUCCACUUUUGGAAUAACUCAAAAGGUAUUACAAAUAUGUCAUUGAUGAACUAAUUUUGCUUUAUCAGUCAGACUGUUUCACUUGGAUCUGACACGAUACGAGCAGUGAUAUCCAUCAAGAAUGAUUAGAAAUAUAGAUUUAGUCUACUCCUCUCAUGAUUUCUUACGUGGAUUAAGCACAAAAGUAAAACUGGUAAAUGACGGGUCUGGAACUUUUGUAUAGAGGAACAUGAAGCUAUGUAAGAGAACAGAGGAAACUGUGGGAGUUUCUUGUGUUUGCGUAGAACUGACAUAAGUUGUUUAACUUUACUGAAAACAUGAUGAGUCUGAAUAAAAGUAAAUGUCAAUUUCAACUUCACUCGAUAAAUUUUGCUCGAGUCUUAUUCCGUAUUUAUGAAGAAUCAUUGUGUGUAAUAGUAAUGCAAUAAUUAUGGUCAGUAUCUCGGGUAUGAUCCAUGCAUGACUACUUUUCAGGGUCAUAAGCGAACCAUAAUUGGACUAUACUGAGAAAGCAUAUUUAGCUAAUUCCCAAGCUGUGGCUGGAAGAUGUCUGCCUAUCCAGUAUGUGAAGUGAACUGGAAGACAUGAGACAGAGGAAAACAAUCAGGGACUCCAUCUGUCAGUGUGCACAUCUUCUCCACCUCCCUCUUCCCGGCUCCACUUACAGUCCUUGAACACUAGCAAACAUACUAAGUGAUCGUGACAGCACUUAUGCCCAGCAGGAAUGUGCUUUCUCACUCCGCUGCUUUGGCUAUAUUGUAGAUGAUGAGCUUGAGUCACUUCAGAUUUUUAGGAAGGCGCCCAGGGGGAGCGGCAGUGUAAAACGAUCCCUCUCUCCCCACCGGCAGUAGAAGAUUAGUUCCUACCCCCUGCCUGAGCAAUGGGCCCAGGUUUAGCUCACUCUGCUUUUCUAAAUCAAUUAUACUACCUGCUAAAUCAGGCUCUUACGCAAGUACAAACAGGUUUCUUUGUCUCUCUCACAUUUUUUCUGGCUUAUUCCUCCCCCUUAUGCCAUCUCUUGCGUGUCACUUCCUCCAUUAUUUGGCUUUUCCACCUUCUUCUCUGUUUGCCCCCACUUUCACUCUGGUUAGAUAGUAAAAGGCAAAGGUGCAGAGGUGUGGUGCUAGUGCCAUCUUUUGACUAAACAGAGGUUGUGAUAGUGUCAGAGUGACACCUUUCUGUCCAUCCCUGGAGAAGAUAUAGAGGGCCAUCAUGUGAGCGCUUCCCUGCAUGAGUGUUGGUUUCACAUUUAUUUAUUAUUCUUUGAGUUUGAAUAAUCUCUAAAGAAUUGGUGGCGAACUUUUUCACCCCACAAAAACCACAAAGGAUUAAAUCAAUCAAUAGAUUGGGUGUCCAUCCUUACCUUUGUGCCAAUUCUCUCUUUUCCUUCCUUUCUCCUUUCCCUUCUGUCUCUCCUUUUCCAAUUCCUUCUGGGGUCUCGCUUGCCGUGAUUUAAAAUCUUGUCGCCUUUGUUUUGAUGUGACAUUGAAUUCCUCCUCAGAAUGUUUAGUGGUGUGCUCAGCUGCACAUCAAGGGAGACUAAACAUGAUACGCACAAAUGUACCCUCUCAAGAAAACUCACUGCAAGCCAACCUCGUUGCAGGAGAGGAGUUUUUUUUUUUUUUUUUUUUUUUAAACUUUUUUUCACCUAAAGAGCAGUGUUGGUGGUGAUAGUAAUGUUAAUAGUGCAUUGAAAUUUUUGCAUAAAUCCUUCAUUUGAAUUAUGCUCAUUGGUGCAGGUAAUUGAGAUUAUGUUGUGAUGUACAAGAAGAAAUAAACCACUGUUCAUUUUGCGAUCUAUACUUAGAGAAAAUGCUGAGAUUACACUCAUUUGCUCUCACACGCUGACUCCCUUAAACACUUAAAUAGUUCUUUUGAUUUGCUUACUUUGGUUCUCCAUUCAUUUACAUUCACUUCUGAACGACUCAGUUUUUAUAAAUAAAAUCAAAUACCAAAACAAACGGUGUAACUUUCAGUACAUAAAUCUAUCAAUUCUCACAUGCACACAAACUUUGUUAUAUUUUGUCCUCUAAAAACAUACAUGACUGGAAAAUAUGCACACCGGUUAGCGAACUCUGACUCAUGUAUACAACAGACGGAUUGGUGACGCAGUUUCUGAGUGAGUGAACUUACGUCAAGCCGUACUCUCAUGCCUUUUAUACAUGAAAUUCUAUUAAACAUCAAUAAAAUGACUACCCCGUGUCGUCAUAAUCGCUAAAAUCAGCAUGUUCCAAAUUCACAUGAGACACUGGGAAGCAGUUCCCCGUAAGCUGUUAUUAAAAGAUAAAAGCAAAUCUUUAAGUCCACCAAAAGUUAAAUCAGACGUGUUUCACCUUCACUUUUCUCCUAAAUGUAGCUCUAUUCUGAACCGGAUGGUAUCCUUACAUAAUGGUCAGGUGUUGAAAUAAAAAGUAACGCAAUCAAGGAGCUCAGUGUCAGUGAUGGUACCACAAACCUGUAAUACUGUGCAGUAUCACCAAAUGUAAUAUUUUAUUUCAGUAAAGAUUACAGAGCAGCAAACACAGAGCACAUGGAGACUCAUGCAUGCAGUGAAAGUUAUGCCAUGAGCAGAUCUCAUACAAUAAUCCUAUAUAUAUGUACAGUUGAAACCAGAAGUUUACAUACACUAUAUAAAAAGGCACAUAACCUUUUUUUUCCUCACUGUCUAACAUUAAAUCAGAUAAACUUUUACUGUUUUUGGUCAAUUAGGAUUACCAACAUUAUUUUUAUAUGCUAAAUGCCAGAAUAAUGAUUUUUUAUUGUUGUUUUCUUGAGAGUCAAAAGUUUACAUACAUUUCAUUGGUAUUUGGUAGCUGCUUUUUAGUUGUAUGACUUGGGUCAAAUGCUUUGGAUAUGCGUCCAAAAGCUUCUCACAAUAGUUUGCAAGAAUUUGUCCCAUUUCUCCUGACAGAACCGGUGUAACUGAGCUGAGUUUGUAAGCCGUCUAGGAUUGAGAUCAGGGCUUUGUGAUGGCCUCUCCAAAACAUUGACUUUGUUAUCCGUACGCUACUUGAAACCAGUUUGGCAGUGUGCUUAGGAUCACUAUCCAUUUGGAAAACCCAUUUGCACCCAAGCUUUAACCUCCUGGCUGAUGUCUUGAGAUGUUGCUUCAGUAUUUCCACAUAAUGUUCUUUCCUCGUGAUGCCAUCUAUUUUGCGAAGUAUACCAGUCCCUGCUGCUGCAAAACAACCCCACAACAUGAUGCUGACACCCCCAUAUUUCACAGCUGGGAUGGUGUUUUCAGGUUGAAGCCAAACCGGCCAUGAUAAAACCAGCACGUUAAAACUUACAUUCAGGGAUCAAACUUUUGUCAAAUAAUGUUGUAGAGAAAGAGGGGCCAAGAUGGCUGAGUAAUCGAAGCCCUGGAUUCUAUAAACACAGACACCCGUUAAAAAUGGUGAAUGAUGGAUGCACAGGCAAUACUAGAGACUACGUGGAUGCUGCAGAGCCGUUUGUUGUUUCUUUUGUGACCCUCCCGCUGUGAGAAACAAGCAAUGAAAGCUUUCUGACCUCCAUUUCAUUCAGAAGCACCAAGAUUUCUGUGUCACAAACUUUGAUUUUCCUCUCUGUUAUUGCUGUGAUUCACCAAGAGCCUUUGAUCCGCCGGCUCAUUGUAUGCAGUUUCAUUUCUAAAGAGCUUCACAUUGGCCAUCAUUGUGAGAAUGAAGGCCAGAUGAGGGCAGACUUGAUUCUACACAAACAUUAAAAAUGACACCUGAGCUCAUUACAAUUUCUAAACCACAAGAAGUCAAGAAUUAUAUAGUCGAAAGAACAGUCUCGUAAAUCUUUAUUAUUACAUCUCAUGGGUGAAAACCUUCUCAGUGAUAUAACCGGCGUCAUCGGAUAAAGAUCCACAAACCCUAACCCUGAAUAAACUCCACCUACAUCGUAAACCUUUAGCUCAACACACUGGGCGUCUAAUUCAACAUAAUGCCAGAAAAAAAGUACCACUGACAAAGUCAUUACACCUCAGAAGACCUUUGGAUAUCAAUAUUUUGACCAAUCUGCUAAACAGAUGUUUGAAUAUUAUGCUGACUCCAUGAAAAUCAAGAGCUACUGCAGGCACCAUUAGGAACUUGUUGAUCAGUGGAGUUAUUAAGAGCCAUCCUAAGCACUACAAAAUGCCAUUAAAAAGAUUUUGCAGUCAAGGAGCUGAGGCAUCAGCCUGGACUAAACUCUAAAUAAUGGAACAAUUACAAGCAUUACUAUCCAUUCAGCCACUACAUGAAUUUGGCAGCUCACCUCGGUGUUAAUGACUGUUUCACUCCUCAAAUUCAAACUGCUCCAAAAUAGUCACUUAUUUAGUGUUAUUUAUUCAAGUUUAUCUUAGAGGUAAAAAUGGAUUUGGCAUGAAAUUAAACAGAUUCAUUGUACUUUUUCAAAAUAUUCAUCUGGUCCCUAACACAAACAAGCAUUUCCGUAUCUUCUUUUUAAAAUAACUCUUAAUGUAAUGGCUUUGCACUAACUUUAAUGAUAAUGAUCCAACAAUCACUCAUGAUCAAGCAAGAUGGAUUUUAUCUGAGAGCCACCACAGUCUGUGUUAGUUGGUUGUCAUAGCACAAAUGAUUUCUUGUGAAAAACACCAUCAAAGUCGACUAAUGCUGCACAUGGGCACGUGGGAGACAUUUAUUCACAUAAAGCUUCUUAAUUCACUUUCCCCACUGUAGAGCAUCAUUAAAUGACAAUGAAAAGAAGCAUGCAGGCACAGUCUGAGUGAUUUCAUUACACUGUACAAUAUGUGUGUAUCACAUGGGCUCAUUAGUCUACUUAGCUUAUUGAUUUGCAUAACACUUUGCACAUUAUGCUUUUUCAGAGCACUUUAGGUUUUGGAUUAGACUUAAAACUCCCACUCUGAGCAUCUAAAUCUCUUACUCAAACAUGCAAAGGUACAUCUAAGCAACAAAGCCUAAUUGGCUUAAACUUAUUUAUUUUUAAGGCUCUUUUUCUGCAUUGAAUCUAAGAAUAUUUUUUAUACCGAACCUUAAAUAAAUCCUUUGAUUAGGAAAAGAAAAGAAGUUCUAGCUUGUUAAGGCUUUUCUUCAUUUUGGCGAGACAAGGGGAAGUUUUUGUUUCUGCAUCUUUAAUGAGAAUCGCCAGAAUCUCAGAAAUUGAGGCUUGACUCUCUCUCAUCUUUUUUCCGUUUUUUUUAAAUGAUUUUUUUUAAUUAUAUUUUUUAUUUUUUCACCAAGGCUCGGGGUUGUUUUCUUAAAUCUUCAAGUUCAGAGUCUAGGUUCAAGUCAUGGUACUCUGUAGUGUAUAGUACCUCCUUAAAGGUCGUGGUGAGGUCCCCAAAUCAUCAAGAACAGUGUAAUCUGCAUAAAAAGACAUUGUCUCUUUAACGGAGCAGGUGCAAAGGGUUAAAUCCAGCUGUCCUUUUGGCCGAUGUUGUUGGCAAACAUUUAAACAUCAUGCAAGUAUUUUGCUUAAAAAAGAUCCCUUUUUGGCCAUGUCACAAAAACACUCACAGCAAUACUAACAGCCACUCAGAGGGACAUUUUUACCAUCUGCUGAGUGUUGGUGACUGUUGCUCAAACUUUUAGGAAUCAAGCCAAUACCCAAUACUUAAUUAAAAUAUUCAGCAUUUUGGUCAACAAUCUGUAUUGACCUUUUGUGUUACAACGCAUAAUAUUAAUUCAUUGGAAAAUCUGCAACUUUGGCCCCACUUCUUUUUUUGUCUUUUCUUCUGGGUCUAUUUUCUUCCAUCACUUCAUCUCAGCUGUUUUUUUUUUGUCGACCACACUCUCUGAUUUGUUUGACUCACUCCUCAUUACUAGUUAAGGUAACUGUACUAUUCACUGUUAGUGGAUAACUGUUAACUCAUGUUAAUGAUGUUGAACAUUUCAUAUUUGAUCAAACAUCUGACAUUAAGACACAGGAAGAAGGAAAUGAAAAAAUGCAGCAUUUUUUUUGGAGGGGGAAAAAGGUGAAAAUUAUUCCCAAAAAAAAAACAAACCCUUAGAAAUAGUGAAAGUAAGCAACAUGGAGUCUUAUAUGUUUCUGCAAGACUGAAGAUUUGCAGCAUCCUCUUAUUUUGUUAUCCCAUGUGAUCAAGUCGGUUCUCUUAAUGGGAGGUCUGACCCUGAAAGCAUGCACACUCUGACACAAACUCACAAUCCACACCACACACAAACAAAAGCAGAGACUAAGCCAAUGCGUGGAGAGAGAAGUGAUCGAUCUUUUAACUCAGAGGCACUUCCCCAUUUAGAUCCACUUCACCCUCAGGGUCAACGGAAGCAAUAAACAUGCUGACAGGCUACCAACACAUGCUGUCACACACAAGUAAACAUGUGCAACUUAUAUGUAAACACCUGCAGAAACCUAAACAGGGGAAUACACAAACACGCCCACGCAAACACUUAGUCAGACAUACAUGACGGGGUCAUUGCGGGUUUCCUGGUGACAAUUGGAUUCUCAGAAAGAUUGUGGGUGGACUAAUCAAUUACAGCUCAGUGAUAUGUCAAAGUUGAGGCAACUGAUUACAAUUUUGUUGACUGAACAAAGAACAGAUAGCAGUUACACAAUGUGGUCUAUACUUCUGCUUGUGUAUAUAUAUAUAUAUAUAUAUAUAUAAAUAUAUGUGGAAAAGAAACAGGCCCAAUUUACCAACCGUUUUACUAAGCUGUAAAAGUUAAACGUGCUUAAAGAUAAGAUAAGAUGAGAUACGAUAGGAGGAACUUUAUUGAUCCCCAGAAGAAAAUUCAAUAGUCUCUGCUCAUGAGAGUGAUCAGCUGAGCAGAAAAGGUCCUGUUUCUCAUUUGUUGACAGCUGAAGAUGUAAGAGUACUUCAUGAUGUGUUCAAAUGUCCGGUAGCAUGGCCCUUGAAGAUGCUCUCAAAAGUUGUCUUGGUCAGUGCCUGCUUGAGAAAUCUUCUAAUACAGUUAUACGAACCCUCGGCUAAGAUCAAUCCAGUGGUGCCAUUUCAUACGGGAUGUGAGUCAGGACUUUUCGGCUUGAGUAUUGAUCGUGUCAGUGCUUUGAGAUCCAUGCCUUUAAAAAGAAAAUGGGCUUUUAAGUGGUUAAGUGCUGAAUUAUCAUCAUCGUUUUUAUCUCUUGUCUGCAUCGGUUUCGCUGUUUUCAAUAAUCGCUGAUCUUUUAAGUCAUGGGAGGUAGUCAGCUCCAUCAUCAACAUUUUUUCUCGCUCAGCCCUUUAACUCUCCACAUCACUAGCUUUGUAUUCAUCAUCACAUUGUAUUUGUUCUGAUUUUACAUAACUAUGUGUGCCUGCGUCUUUAUCUCCAUCUCCAAAUUUCUCUCUUAAACUUUUGCCUCUUUCUGCAGAUGUUCUUUUCCAGGAACAAGACACGUGCUUCUGACUCCAGACAAGUUUCAGACAGAGGCUAAAUCUGGCAAACAACUACAGAUUGUGACUUUUUUUUGUCUUUUUAAAUCUGUUUGGUCUGUUAUGCAAUCAAAGAACUCCUUUGAAGCCAUUACAGAGGGGGAAAAACCUAUAAGGAUUUCAGUUUCCUACAACCAAACAGAAAAAUAGCCAGUUUAUGCUUUUUAAAAGCAAAAAGCCCCCAAUUUGAUCCACAUCUGAAGAUGUUUUUCAGGAGCCAAGCCCUGAUUAUGUGUGCAAAAAAAAUGACUUUUUUUUAGAACAAGGCUUUAAUACAGUGGUGCUUAUCUCAUUCACUGAUCGAAUAAAAAAAUAAUACAGGGUAUACUCAAUAAUAGAAAGUGUAUAAAGUAUUUAUGAGUGCCAAAUGUACAGUUUGUCUUUACUUUAGAGAGGGGUUGCCUGAGGUUCUCAUCAAAAAAGAGGGUUUCUGGUCAGCUUCAUUGUCAAGAAAAAGCCAGCAAGGAAGUUUGACAAUGACUUGCUGCAGGUUGAGUAACUUUACCAUGAAACUUUGCCAAAUUAAGGAAAGCUUGGCCCAGAACUUCGAAUACUAAAAACAUUUUAAAUCUUUUACUUUUGCUUUUUGUAGACUUGUUCUACAUUCCAGUCAGUUGACGUAAAAGUCAACUCUUCCUCUCCAAACCACAAUUCAUAAACAUCCCCUCUUGUAUUCACAGUAAAUCACAUGCAGUUGUCAGUAAGUUAUUUUAAGUCCUAUUUUAAUUUUUGUUUAUUUCCAAUCUUGCAGACUAAAACAGCUGAUUGGUGUUGUGUCCAUAAAAGAACAAAGUGGCCCCCUACUGUCAAAGUCAACCGUCUAGAUAUAGCAAAGACUUAUAAUGACAUUAAUGUCUGGGACAGUUUUUCUUAAAAUUGGCUAAACUGGCUCAUUAAAUUGAUCCAUUUGAUAACCUAAAUUCACCAACCUGCCCUGGUCAAGGCUGGCCAGUAUCUGCCCUCAGUUACAAUAUGAUACCAUUCAACUCGACACAAUAUAAUAGGAAAAGAUACAACAGGAUAUGAUACAACGUGAUGUGAAGCCAUUUGAGUUGAUACAGAGGAUACAAUCCAAUAUGAUUCAAUUUGACACUACAAUAUAGUGCACUGUAUUGUUUCAGAGGUAAACUUGACUUGGACUUCAGUGCUGCACAUGUUCAACUGCAUCCACAAUAAUACUGAUAGCAACGACACCGUCAAACAGUCUGGGUUCACCACAGAAAUUCAACUUCAACUUUCUUUAACAUGUCAGAUAUCCUGGAGUUUUUCAUAGUAAGAAGGGAUUUCUAGGUAAGUACAAAUGAGGAGUGUUGACAAGAAUCUCAUACCGUCCUAGUUAAGCCAUCAAGAAAAGUAUUAUUUUUAGAGGAACACACCAUAUGGCAGAUCCAUUUAGUAUCAUUACAAGUGGAUAAUUUGUAAAUUAGCUAUAUGAUGUUACCUUAACUCUAACUCUAAUGUGGCGCUCAUACCAAGCGGGAGUAAAAUCAUCUACUCGCUUAAUAUGCGCGAAUCUAGACUUGUGAAUGAAAAGUAUUGACUCGCUUCAUUUACACAUCAACAGUAAUUUCAACGGUAAUCCCCGCCAGUUCAACCAGUGGGAUGAAGUGAUAGACAAAGGUUUUUUUACAAUUUACAAGGUAAUCCGACCUCCUCACUCACUCCUUUUUGUUCCGGUUUCGAUAAUUGAAAGAAAAAUAAUCAUAUAAUUCGAGGCAUCCACACAUCGACUCAGUUUAUCCUCCAUUUUAGAUACCAGUGAACAACCAUCCAUUUUCAUACGUCACCCGGCAACCUUGGUGCUGAGUAGUUGAGAUCCGCCCAAUUCACGUCAUUCACGCCGCCAGAGUCAUAGGAGCGUCUAAUCGCGUCUUUGCAUUUACUUGACAUGUAAUUCAUUUGUGUUGAUGAUUUUACUCGUGCUUGGUGUGUGGAGGCAGUAACUCUGUUGUCAUGCAUCCAUGUUAAAAUGUGUAGCUUACUCUCUCUCUCUCUUUCACAUGCGCACACACUGAUGAGCAAACUGGGAACGUAAAAUUAGAACAGUUCCGGAGGGGGCAAAGUUCCCCCCUCUGUCUAAGAGCUGGGAAAACAAAAACAACACAGACACUGAGAAAACAGAACAAGAAGAAAAAUAUGCUUCAACAGCAAACCAGAUCAUCAGGACAAGUUGCUACAAACACCCCCUGCAGACUGAAAGCUUGAGGAUCUAGUAACCACAGAUAAGCUGCUCAACUGAGGGGAAGGAAAAUGUGUCUGAUCUGGGGCUUUUUGCUUUUUCUUUGCAUCUGUCAUUAUCACUCUGACUUGUGGGGGUGUACGCACAGACACAGACGCACUGUUUUCCUGCUUUCUGUCCACGAUGUGUUCUUCCAUCUGGCCUGAUACAAAGGUAAAGCUUUCACAAUAUUUAUGCCUUUUUUUUAUCCUCUCUUCCUGAACCUGUAGACAGUCCUUUGUUCUCGUGAAAGCCAUCUUAUAACACCUUCACCAUCACCCUGUUAGCUUGAGUGCAACUGAGGCACAGCAGGCCCAAUUCAUCACACUCAUAUCAUGUCCGCACAUGAAAGUAAACAAUGACGUAGGUUGAAUGUGAACAAGAUAGAACAAGAUAAAUUGAAUUUGAUGAGGCACAGAGAAAGAUAGGCAUGGGAGGAAAAAAAGGCUAAAAACUGAAAAAAAACCAGGCCAUAUAUCUGUUCAGGUUUCUUCUUUAUUGACUUGAUUUUCCUGCCUCUCCCUCAUUCAGCGUCAGUCCUGAGGCUCAACGAUGAGUGAUGUGCCCUUCCCGCUCUAUCUCUACACACACACAUUAACACACAAGUGACGGUGUUAUUCCAUUAGUGCUCUUGGACCUCAGUCAUUGUCCCUUUCCCUGUCCUCUGAGGGAGCAGCCAGAACCGCUAGAGGGGAGCAGCCACCCGCACAACACGUCUCAGACAGAUUGUUAAUCAGGCAAUGCUGUAUGAUAUUCUGUAGCCGCUUACAUCUCGCUCCCUCCGCGAGUAAUCACCUAACAGUGUUAUGCCGACGUCGCACAGGGUCAGGUGGAGGGAGAGCUGUUUGUCGAUGUUAAAGAGACAGAGAGAGACGGAGAGACUUGGAAGCCGAAGAGGAAAGAAGACUAAGUGAGAAGCAGGGAGACAAAUAGAAGAGAGAUGAAACAUGUUUUUAAUAGCACUUGAUCAUGUGUAAUGUGCCUUAUUUAGUGUUAUGAUGCAGCUGAAUCACUCUGUUUUUACUUGCGCGCACACACUGCCACAUUAUAUAUUGACAUGCUCCAGUGCUUUAAGUGCAUCAAGGCUUGAGAGACGAGGCAGCAGCAAUUAACACCUCUCUGACAUUUGCUUCUCCAGCUGUGGAAGGGGGAAUAAGGGAGAUGAGCGGAGGAGAAAUGAAUGCAAUCCUUUCACAACAAACUCACUUCUGAGUAUUUAUCUCCCUCUCUCUGUGUCUUCAUUUUCUCUGAGCUCUAAAUGACCCUUAUGUUUUGUCUGUGUUACAAAAACACAGUGAUUAGAAGAAGGGAUUUAGAGUUCAUCUUUCUUUGGGCAAGCUCUCCUCUUUCUAUUUUUCUUCCUCUGACACAUGAACACAUGCGCAAGACGAUGCAAAUAAAGAUGUCCCCCAUGAAUUGCAUUUUCUAAUUCUUGCCUAAUGACUAUUGUUGUUGUAGACAAUCAAUAUGGUGCUUCUUUGUGGGCGAGCAGAGAGGCCAAGCCGGGCUGCCCAGGCAUCUGCUGCUCUGUCUGUGCUGCAGCCUUUCCAUCCUGUAAAUAACACUUGAGAUACACAUACACAAACAGGCAUUUUCUCGUACGGUCGACUGAAAGCUGCUCAGCAGUGUGACAGCUCUCGUUUAGCCACUUCAGUGUCCUGGAGUCCUGUUUCUUACAGCAGCCACAUUUGGUUUUCUUAUAUGAAUAUAUAUUUCUUCUCGCCUACUCUGGGUGGUAUUGUGCCUCUUCAAGCUUGGGUCCUCUACUAGAGGCCUGGGAGCUUGAGGGUCCUGCACAGUAUCUAAACUGUUCCUAGGACUGCACUCUUCUGGAGUGAGAUGUCUGAUGUUUCCCCAGGGAUCUGUUGGAGCCACUUCUCCAGUGAGGGGGCAACUACUGUUGCCUUCACCUUCCAGGCUUUCUCUAUCUCCUAUUUGAGCCCUUGGUACUCCUCCGGUUUCUCGUGUUCCUUCUUCCUGAUGUUGGAAUCGCUUGGGAUGGCGACAUCUACCACAACAGCUUUCCUCUGCUGUUUGUCUACGGUUACAAUGUCUGGUUGGUUCACCAUUACCAUUCUGUUGGUCCGUAUCUGGAAGUCCCACAGGAUAUUGGCUCGGUCAUCCUCCAUUAACUUGGGAGGUGCUUCCCAUUUUGACCUCGGGGUUUCCAGUCCAUAUUCUGCACAGAUGUUCCUGUACACUAUAUUGGCCACUUGGUUAUGGUGUUCCAUGUAUGCUUUUCCUGCCAGCAUCUUACAUCCUGCUGUUGGUGUUGGGCUGUUUCAGGGCCCUCUUUGCACAGUCUGCACCUAGAGUCUUGCCUGGUUUGGUAGAUCUGGGCCUCUAUUGCUCUGGUGCUUAAGACCUGUUCUUGUGCUGCCAUGAUUAGUGCCUUGAUUAUAUACAUGUAUAUAUUCUGUGCUUUGGCGAAAGAAUGAAUCAAAGUUGAUAACCGCUUAUCAAAAUAAAGUUUAGGCUUUGUAUCUUAAGAUAAUACUUUUUUUCUGCCCAUCUGGCUGUGAAACCAACAAAACAAAACAAAAUAUGAGGACGGAUAGAUUCAAUCAGCGCCAAACUGACAAAUAAAUCACUGCUGCUGUGUUUAAGAUGCAUAACUGAGCUACAGCAUGCCUCAAGGGACAGAAUUGCUUUUUAAAAGCACUUUGUGAAGAAUUUCUAAAUGGUGUUUAUGAGUUUAUAGAAAUUUUGAUUUACAUAGUAUCCCCUCGCCAGUAAACUAAAGUUAUGGUAACAUCUGUGCAAUAGCAAUAACAUAUGAAUGCAUGCAUUAAUUCAGUUUUUGUUUCAUAAAUGUAUGGAAAAAAACUGAACUGCUGAUUCAUAACUGAAUUGAACAUAGAUAUCAUGUUUAUUAGUCUUUAUUGAUGAGGUCAGGUCCUGCAAUCAAUGUAAAGAUACAAAAGAAAAGCAAGCAAAAACACAUUUUACUGAUACUCAUAUGUCAAAGAGAGGUUAAAUUAGGUCUAGUGAACAUGAGCAGUAAAGUAAUGACACAUAAUAAAGGAAGAUGAGUUUAAUAGCCUGAUUUCAACAAAUUUAUCCAAUAGCUCUGUUAUGUAGCUCAUAUCAUGACUUUUCAGUUUACUUUACAUGUGUAAAGAGCAUGAGGUACAAAGAUUAUAAAAGAAGUCAUGGCGUUGUAUAAAGAGUAGAAUAAGACCAUGUUUUAGGGGUCAGGGUGGAAGAAUGGGUCAACAAACUCACAACUUUUAUCCAUCAGGUGUAAAUGUGUGAGACAACACAACAUUAGUCAGUAUUGAUGUGUUUACAUGUACUCAAGGGGAGCAGAUUUAACCAUUGAGCCCAAUAGCCUGUCAUACAGAGAUGGCAAAAGUCACCUGAUAGUUGUUUUCGAAACCCUGUCCAAAACUCGUACAAUGCAACACCAUUAAAGGCAUGGGAAAAACUUAAAAGCACACUGAAAUUGACCCACAAGGAACUUAAAUUGCAAAUGACACGCAUGUCCUUGAAAGCAACACACAAUUCCUGAGAUUCAAUUAAGCACAUUUAGCAAAACAAAACAGAUGUACCGAACACAUCAAGGGUUUAAAGUUAAGAAGCAUAAACUUAGGAUGUAUUUUUGCAGACCAAAUUGAGAGUAAGAGGAUACAGCUCUGGUUUAAUGGACUGGAUAAUGAUUAAUUAAUUAUUAUUUCCUCGGAGGGAGAGAGGAAAAUAAAAUAUAGAGGAGAACAAACAGAUAGAGGAGAAAUGAUGGGUAAUACUUGUACACUCUGAGAGGGAGAAAGAGACUGAGAUGGAACUGAUAGUGGUUAACUCGGCUACUUCACUUCUCUCUCUCUGCCACCUUCACUCAGUGUCAUGGCCUUCGACUUCUGAAGAGAUGCUAAUGCACAUGUUACCAGAAGGACAUUUCCACCCUGACUGUCCUGAGCAUCCACUCUCAACACUCCUCUCACUGUCAUUUCCAGCUCUCUGUCACCACGCCGCCCAUCACUCUCUCGUCCCUCCUCUGGCUGAUUUCAGCACACUCGUCUGUUCAUGGCUGUAAUCUAACUGCAUCUCUCUGUCACUCUGUAUCCUCCAAGAGUCUCUCUCUCUCUCUCUCUUCUCUCUCCCUGUCUUUCUUUCUAUAUCUUGUUAGGUUAAACCCCUCUGGUCAGUUUGUUUCUCCAUUAAAGAGUCUCAUAUGCUAACACCAAUCACAUAGAUUUUUUGGUCAGCAGUAGAUUGAAGAAAACGAGAGAAAUCCGAGUUGAAAAUGGCUCUGAUGCUUUAACUUAUUUAUUUCCUAAAAACCUAAUGCACUCACUCUCAGGGAGUUCUCGCAGAGGUCAUCCACAAAAAAGUGGAAAUAAGAAGUGCACAUCACCAAGAUUAUGUCUGUCGACUAAAAUUUGUAUGCUUUCGAGUUGCGCAUUAUGGCACCGGCCACGGGCAAUUAUGGGAGCCAGAGAUGACCCUGUUGGGACAGAGGGUUUGGAGCCGACCAGUGGGCAGUGAACACAGUUGUCAAAGCCAUAAUACAAUAAUUUAUGAACCCGUCCUUAUUCAUUUGCUGGCUAGAGACAAUUAAACAACUGCUCACUCUAAGUAUGCAAUACUUCAGAGUCACUGUGAGAAGUAUUUGUGUUGUGUUUGUUCUUGAGGCUCCUUCUGACAAAUAUUGGUAGGCCUGGUGGAUACUACAUGUUUUCUAUAAUCAAGAAAACAAUUAUUAUACAAUGCAUGGUUAAUAUUCAAUGUAUCUAUUUGUUGAUUUGUAUAAUUUACUUAUUUAUUUAUCAAAUUGGAGGAGGAUUCUCUGCUAAGUGCUUAGCGCAAGUUAAAAAGGCCCAUGAACCCAUGAAGUGUUAACAGUAAAAUUUGAAAUGUGCUGCUUUGUUGUAAUUUCUGCUUUCUUGCAAGUCUGAAUGUGACAUGCACAAAACUUAAUUCUUUUGUCCCCAAAGAACAGUGAAGCAUUUGCAUGCCAAGGGAAGAAUAAAAUUCUGUUCGUAGCCGUUUUUUUGCUUUUAACACGCAAAGCCCUGGUUGAAGAGUGUCUCUGUCUAAAACAAUAGUCUGAUAAUAAAAUGUGCGUCCUGCUCCAGAUUAGCUAUGAGUCAAAAACACUAUGAAGAAAUAUAGAAAAGUCCCUGAUAAAAAAAAAAAAAGAACUCAAUUUCUUACAGCCAAGCAUUUCCAGAAGAGUUAAAGCUCCGUCCCAGUUGUACUCUGAAGUCGGAAUUUCCAAGCUCUGAGUCAGAAAUUCAUCUGGAACUCCCCCCUGAAGUCGGAUUUACGACUCGGAAAGUUGGACGAUCCUCACCAACCCUGACUUGACAACAACGUCAUUAUCCAAGAUUGCAGUGCAAUGCAUCAACAGUUAAGAGUAACAGUGAAAGCUCUCGUAAUGUAUUAUUUAUCAUCGCUUCCUUUUUGUUUUUGUGAGAUUUCUUAAGUAGUAUAUGUUGAACUGCCCAACGUCUAACUGUGAACACGGUGCUAUGGUGUUUGUAAGAGUAAAGUACUGUGUUUUGCGUUGUUUACAACUGGUAAAGCUAACAACAGCUGACAACAGCUAAUAACAGCUGACAUCCAGUAACAACAACUGACAACAACAGCUGACAAUUGUAAACAACAGCUAACAGUAGGCAUCCAUCUUGGUUUUCCAACUUCUUAACUGGAACGUUGCCAACUUAGGUGUAGCAUCAUUCCCAGCUCCGACAUCCAAAUUCUGAGGUCACUGGAAUGCAGCAUCAAUGUAUAUCUGUCUCAUGUGGCCAUUUAAGGAACUACACUUAUUGACAUUCUGACUUUUCCCGUUUUUUUUUACGUCUUUUGUGAAUCACACUAAAUUGCCUUGUUACUGAGUGUAACAAGCAAAUUUCCCUUGCUCUGCCUUGCUUGGAUAUGCAGCCCCCGCUCUAGUGUUCCUGCUGUUUAUGUAGCGUUUUAUAAGCACCAUCUCUCUUCUCAGCAUCCACCUGUGUGGUCCCUAUCUACCUUUACCUAUGGGGGAAGUUAUAAUCAUCACUCCUUCCUCCCUGCUGGGGGGAGUUUGAUGCAUCCCUGUGGGGGAGCGAUGAGGUCAGAGCCAAGACACUCAACCUCAAAGCCAUUCACACUCUACAUUCACAAAAUAAUCCAUUCUGGGAAAGCCAAUGGGCUGAAUUAAAAUUGUUUUUUUUAACCGUGACCAUAUCCUUAACCUUAGUUUAAUUUGCUGUGCAUAGAUUUUAGAAAUAAAGACAGAAAGUGGGCACUGAAUGUUUAACAGUUUUGUCACUUUACAAAAUCUUAUGCCAAAUUCUUCGAACCCAACAUUUUGUCUAAUAAUAGAAGAUGCUCAUUUGCACACACACACACACACAUAUGCAAUCCUUUUGCAUGCCAAGUUUGUGUAAGUGACCUUUAAACAGAGAAGUUAGAAGCCAUUGCUGUUUUAAACUCUUUAUCCACCCACUGUUUCCCUCAUCAGAUCACUGUUGCAGUCCAAGGGGGACCUCUACAGGCCACACGAGGAACAGAUCUCCUCAAGCACUGGUGUUAGAUUGAAAGUUGCAUGCUUAAAGGCGUCCCACUCAGUCACUGUCACAGCUUGUGUCUAUCUGUCAGGCAUGAACUCACUGCUUUGGGUCCUCUGUCACACGCUCGCAUAUAGACACUUGUCUCAAACAUGGUUUACACGGUUCAAAUACAAAUACGUCGCCAUAUAUAGACGCAAGAGGGGGAAUGAUGUGAGUGUCAACACUAAAUAUCAAAGGUAUGAUCAAGCAGAGAAGGGAAAUCGAUAAAGAAUUAUGUUUCUACAUUUGAGUGAGAUUUAUUUGUGGCAUCCGUGCUCAAUCAAUGACCUGUUAGUCUGGAACAGAGCAGACAUACUUCCACACCACUGUCAGGUGUUUGAAAAGUCCCCGCUGGGCCACAUAGUGAUUAAUAGCACUUAUGUCAAUAUCAGCAAACUUAUUUUUUGUUAUUUUCUCAUAUUGCUUCCCUCACAGUUAUGGAUUUAGUGAAAAAAUGAAAAAAAAAAACCACUCUCUUUUCAUCCGUCUCCAUUUGACAACGGCAUGUGUUUUUAGUGCUUUAUAGCUCCAAAACCUGAGGGCUGGGAUGUUCGUAAAGGUUGUAAAAUGAAUUUGAAGGGUGGUAAAAUGAUUAACGGAAUAGAGGGAAGAAAAACAUAUUUCUCCUUCACUGAAUCAUGCUUAUUUUUCAGCCUUUUUUUACCGGGUAAUUUGUCUCUUCAGGCCUUUAAAUAUUAUUCAAAUGAAACAAUCUCAGAGAGAAAAUUACUCUUUGGUUGAGCCGCUCACAGCUGAGGUGUCACAGGAAAGACAGGUUGGAAAACCAGUGCUAUUAUUGAUGCUGUUAGCGUGUACUUAAACUCAGCUGGCUUUGACGAAUUAUAUUGAAGAUAAGGAGACUUAAUUUAUGACUCUACAGAAGGAGAAGAGCCUCGGAGAUACUGCCGUGUUUCUACACUCUCAACUGAGUGAUGAGAUGAAUCAUUUUCCUGCUGUUGUUACAGUUCUUAGAUGCAGAUGUACCAAAAAAAGAAAAGUAAUAAUAAUCGUACUGAGACCCUAUUUCAGUUUGUGGUUGUUUGCCAUUGUGAAAUGUAAUAAAAGUCUCACCCUUUGAGUUGUUUGUGAAGUUUGCAGGUUGUUCUCAACUUUCAAGAGGAGUACUUUACUUCACCACAGGUCUUUCAUUAGUGUGAGCUGGAAUAAAAUGACGCCGAAAAGGGCAUGAUGGUGCUUUUUAAAUGAAGAGCUCGCUUUGAUGUGAGAGGAGUAUGUUUAUUUCAUAAUUAGAGUAUGAUAUUUGGAUAUUUUUGUGGAGUUUAAUACACGCUAUCACUGGUUUGAGCUGAUUUUCCUUGACUGUGUUUGACAUUUGCCUCCUUGGUUCCUCCUCUUCUGUUUUGAUCCUUUCACCUCAUAAAGCGGCGUCUAAAUUAGAGGUUACUAAACAGAAAACACCCACAGUCCGACUCUAUUUUCUGCGGCUUGCUUUUGUGCAUCACGACUUUGACUGCUCGGCCUCUUAUUUUGUGUAAAUAUAGAAAAUGUAUCCUUGAAUUUAAAAACCAGAAGAUGGAUUCAUGACUGUUGUUUUACAAAUUGCCAUUACGUUUUCUUUUAGCAAAAUCUGAAAAUGCAGGAUAUUUAAUUAAACAAAAUUAGUGACAAGGCACUGCUGUGUUUCUACGCUGGUAUAUGUCCCCUCUGAAAAACAUUUGCUGGAAUGAAUGUUAUUGUUGCAAAGGUGAACAGAGGAGCUUGAAAAAAAGCAGAUUGUUCAAGAUUAGGUUAUAUAGAUUUAGAGUGGGCACUUUUCCUUUAUUUUCAGAGUCACAAAUACAAUAAGUUGGGAAUCAGGAAAAAAAAAACCUUAGUAUUGGUCAAAACAGCUUUAAAACUGGUGGAUGCAAACCACACUUCCCAACAAAAUAACUCAGGGCUUUAUGAGGGUGAGUGCUGACACAGGUCUCCAGAUCAACCAACACAUCAUUUGUCAUCAAUUAUUAUUGGCUGCUGUGUGUGGGGACCGGCCUGAUUGUCAAACUCCCAAGGAGGUUUCAGUGUGGCGUAUUGUGUUGUUGUACAGUGCAUUGAGCUGAUAUCGACAAGUGUCACUGCCUGGUCUGCUCAGAGCUGCAGAGUUCUGUAGACAUCCCCUGCUGUGAUCUUUAAACUUGAUGUUUUGCCGACUGUUUGGACUUUAAUAAAUAAUUUAAGAGUGUUUGUGUGCAGAUUUGUGUGCAUGUGAGGUUGUGUGUGUGUGACCAUGUUACACAGCCUUGCAUCAGUUUAUGCCUGUGCAGCACUACAAAACAGACCACUUGAAUUUAACUCUCACUUUUAUAUUUCCCUGCCUGAAAAAUAUCUCUUUAGCUUGUGUAGCCCUUUACUGCUCUUAGUCCAAAGCACUUUCUCAUACUCCUUUAUUCCUCAUCUCCCUAACUCCCACCCGUCUCUACUUUAGUCUUAAAAAAAAAAAAAUUGCUAGUUCUUGCAUUUCCAGUUUGAUAAAACACUUCUUAACAUGAUACUGUUUGAACAAAGCUAUGGCGUAAUGUUUUAACUUUUUGUCAAAAAAGACCUUCAACGGAGUGGUACAUUUUUUUAAACCUACAACCUCAUGUGACUCAUUGUUCUGCUUUGGUGAUGCCUUUUGACAAUGAUAUCUUGGUGUUUUUAAUGUUAUUAGCGGUGUCAAGAUAAAACUAUAUAUAUUUGCAGUUUGUUUGCUUUUUUCUAUGUUAUUAACACAUGUGAUUUAGCCUGGCUUGUGACAGUAAAGUGAGCUUUUAAAUAAACAAACAUAUCAGAUAAAUUCAGUCUGAUAUCAAAAACAUAUCUGGCAAAAUGAGUCAAGCUGAAGUUUUGAGUGCAGGAGUUGUAAGUUACAUGUAACGACAGAAAACUAUAAUAAUGAUAAUGCAUCAGAUUUCAUGUAGGGCUUUAUUAGAGACCCUCAAAGCGCUUUACAUUGGAUACGUCAUUCAUUCGCUCACACAGUCACACUUUGGUGGUGGUAAACUACCUCAGUAGUCACAGCUGCCCUGGGGCAGACUGACAGAAACGUGGCUGCCAUUUUGCACUCUCCAACCACCACCACCACCACACAACACUCACAAUCAAACACCAGCGGAGGACACACACACUGGGAGCAAGGUGGGUUGAGUGUCUUGUCCAAGGACACAACAGAGAAACUCAGGAUCGGGGGGAGUCGAACCGCCAACCUUCUAGUUAUUGGACCACCGCUCAACCUCUUGAGCUACAACAUCCAAUCUGUUUGUUUCAGUGACAGAAGGAAAUGGGUAACACGUCUGUGAACUUUAAUGUGCAGAUUAAAGCAGCCAAGAAGAGCAGAACAACACAGACAACAUGAUUUUUUUUUUCAACUUCUAAUACCAUAUAUUUCUUGCGAUUCAGGAUCCAAAUCUCAACAACAAUUUUGAAAGUCUAAAAUCAAAAUACUUAGUCAUGGGGCUGCAAUCGAGAAACAACCACUGGCAGUGUUUCUAUCAUGUCCAACAAAUACAAGUGAAAAGCUGAAAAAUCCUUCCUAUUACAUUUGACCCUGUUUACUGAUACAAGGAAGAACAUCUUGUUUACACCUUCUCCUUGUGUCUGUUCACACUGACACAGUGAUGAGCUUUCAGGCUUCACUGACCCUGAGGACUAUGAUUACUGGCUUAACCGUCAUCAGUGGGUUUCAUGUAAGAGGAUAUCAGAGCAGACAUAGAAGGCCAGGAGGCAUCAGAUACCUCAGUGCUCAGCAGUCAACUUCAUUAAAGCCAUGCUGACCCAUUUGUCAUUAUAGAAACAACGGUACAAAGGUAAAGUGCACAGUAAACGGACUAAAUAUCAUCCAAAAGUUCAUUUUUUCCAGGUACGUUUAGCCCAAAAGAAAAUUUUCAAAUUAUGCGUUCAUUACAAAUAAAGUAAAAGCCAUUUUUUUUGUUUCAACUCCAAUAAUUACAGCUAACAGCUCAUGAAAUCAGAAAUCCUCUGUCUAAAAUCAUCAGAAUAUCUCUUGAAAUAAUUUUUAAAAAGGAUUUUCAAUACAAAAUAGUAUGUUUAUACAUUCAUUCAGUACUUUACCAUGAAUUACUGUAUUACUGUGGUGUUGUAUGAAGGUAUCAGCAUGUGGCACUGCCGAGGUGAAGCUUGGGCUAAAGUUGUCAUUGAAAUUAUUCAGUGGUAGUUUUGGCAUUGUGGGCAGGAGUCAAGUCACACUGAAAAAUAGGUCCCUUGUCUGUAGAACCUUCACACUGGACUCCACACACCCAUUUAAAAACAUUCAGAGUAGUCAAAUAAAGUCCCGUUCAUAGCACAGCAGUAUUUUUUUUCCCUUUAACACAGAUCACAAAAGAUGGCAAGGUUAGAUUGUACUGAAGAGUGUAUUGGUGUCCCACCAAAUUAAAAAGUCAAACUUUCUACUUUUUGCUUCUUCACAAUAAAGUCCCUCGUGAAAAACCCAACACUUGGUUUGAAUGUAUUCAUACUACCCAGAGUGUUGAAAACUUCGAACCCUUUUAUGAUUCCUUGGAAAAUAACCUUGAUGAAAGAAACAAACCAAACAAACUAACAGAGAACACAGAAAAAUGUGUGUUAGGAUAAAACAGCAAAACUUCAGUCAAUGAAAACUUCUUUGUGUGUGUGUGGAGACACUAAAGUGUGUGGGAUAUGUGUGAAGUUUCAAAGAGUAUGAAGGUUGAUGUGCCUUUGCAGUAAAAUAAAGUAACAGAGGUUAUAUGCACUGUCGCUGAAAGCACACUUCCCUGUCUUCAGUCAUCUCACCACAGCGACAAUACUCAUCACCCCUGUCUUUAGAUAAUCUCCAAUAUGUCGUCUAAUCACAACGUUGCCUUGAACUUAACUUUGUAUGCACAAUUGUGUCCUAAUUGAGCAUUUAGAGGUGCAAAGCAGGAGAACACUAAGUUACCAAUCAAAUUGUCAGUCCUCUUUUUGGAGGAAUCCAGCUUGCAUUAGAUCAAAAUGCCUGCUCCACCUUCAAACAACAAGUUUCUAAGGUGAUGAAGAGGUUAAAUCAUAAAAAAAGCCUCUCAGUUUGUUCAAGUCAAUAACAGUCUGCAUUAUUUACCAACAAAAAAAAUCAGUUUCUUUCAGUGAUUCAGAAAAGAAAAAAAAGAUUCAAGAUUCAAGCUUUUAUUGUCAGUUAUUGCAGUAUGUGAGUACAAACACAGGAAUCGAAAAAGAUGUUUCUCUCCAGCUGAAAAUACAGAGAAUGAUUGAAAAAAAACACAAAGAAGGAAGUACAAUACAGUAGGAGAGUGGUGAUCUCUAUUGUGCCUGCUUUGUCUAUGUAUAUAUAAAAACUCCUUUACAUAUGCACCCUAUACAUACACAUGCAAAUACAUAUUCACACAUGACCUAAAGAGCAGGUGGUUGUUGCCAUCUACAGUACGUCUUUGAUGUAGAGAGCAUGUCAACAUUUAGCAUUUAAGCAUUCAUGUUAACUGUGGAGUUGUAGUGCAAAGAAAGACUACACAGAACCAAGUGAUUCUGAGUUUUUAUUUAUUCAUUAUAGUGCAUUUAUUAUGUAUUUAGUAAGGGUUGAGAGGAGGUUCAGAGUCCAGUGUUUUCAAGGACAGUAGAGGCAGGUGGUGGGGAGGGAAGAUAGUUCAGCCUUCUAACAGCCUGGAGGGUGAGGCUGUUUAUAAGGCUGGUAGAGCAGGCCUGGAGGCUCUGGUACUUUCUCCCAGAAGGCAGGAGGCUGAACAGGCUGUGCAAGGGGUAGCUGGACUCCCUCACAAUGCUGAUUGUUUAGGGUGUUGUAAAUGUCCAGGAGGAAGGGAAGUGAGACAACAAUGAUCUUCCCAACUAUGUUCUCUGUGUUUUCUGUUCUGUGCAGCUCCUGAACCACACAGUAACACAGCUAAUCAGGUGCCUCAGUAAAAGAUGCACAUGGGGUUUGGUUGCACUGUUGAUGGUCAGUGGUGGGAUGAUCGGUGUGGCCUCCUCUCAAGUCCAUAACAAUCACCACGGUUGUAUCAUCAGCAAACUUCACGAUGUGGUUGGUGCUGAAUGUUGGUGUGCAGUCUUGGGUAAGCAAAGUGAAGAGCAGAGGAGUAUGCACAUAUCCCUGAGGAGCUCCUGUGUAAUGGUACUCAGGGAUAUGUUGCCGACCCAUAAUGCUUAUGGCCUUUCCCAGAUGCACAGUGAGGUUUUGAGUUCUAGAUUGUAUCUUGGUCGACUGGUUGGCUUAGUAUGUAAACUGGAAUGGGUUUGGUAUAGAGGGGAGGAUGGAUUUUAUAUGACACAUGACUGACUAGCCGUUCAAAGCACUUCAUUAUGAUGGGGAGUGUGACAGGGUGGUAGUCAUUGAAGGAGGUUGGAGUGGACUUCUUUGGCGGGGGUAUGAUGGUGGUGGUUUUGAAGCAUGCUGGAACAACAGCCUGGCUCAGGGGAGUGUUAAAGAUAUCUUUAAAGUUAUCUUUGAGCACCUUUGCGCAGUCAUUCAACACAUAUCCAGGAAUGUCAUCUCGACCUGCAGGUGUUGAAGGUAGAGAGUGUCCUCUUCACAUUGGCUGCAGACAGAUCAUAGAGUGGGAGUGGGGUCUUCAGUGGAUGUGUGCUGUUCUGUGCUUCAAACUGGCUUCCUUCAGAAGAUAUAAUGGAUGGCCAUUUAAUAUGAUUAACUCCACCAGGGGUGAGCAGUGUCUACAUACCACCACAGAGUCCUGACCAAGGGUUGUUGAUGCAGACACGCACUCCACCGCUGCAGGAUUCCCCCCUGAGCGCAUGUUAGCUGCUCCAGCUGCACAGUAGGGUCCAGGAUGUUGUCAUUCAUCCAUGUUUCUCUAAAAGCAAAAACGCAGGAGUCCCUCACCUCGUGCUGGGCAGACCCCUGCUGUUGUACUUGAUCCAGUUUAUUGCCCAGGGAUCGAACAUUAGCCAGGAGAAUCGAAGGAAUGGCUGGACAGCUCAAGUUAGCUGCUAACCUAGCAUGGAUACCUCUAUACCUGCCACUCUUCUGCUUCCUCUCACACAACGCUUGCAGUGUCUCAGAUGGCAAGGUUGACUCCGGUGUGGCUGCAGGCUGACGGUGUAAUCCAAACUCCCUCAGAGUUUCCACAAGUGUGUUGGACAAAGGGUUGUCCAGCGCACAUCUGCCAAUGUCUAACAAAACCUGGUGACUGUACUUGUGUUCAGACACAGAUAGACCAGACAAACACUUCUACGCAAGAAGCAGUCAUAUGACAAAAACACAAAACUAUCAGGACAGAGAGGGGCCGCUGCGUCCACAGACCACUAUCUUGGAACAAUAUUGAUCCUUACGAUAAUGAACAAUGAUGAUCCUUUCUUCCUCUCUCAAUAGCGCUCAGUUUGUUGCGGUUUGCAGUAAAAACAUUACAACAUGUCCACUAAGCUUCUAUUUUUAUUAAAAUCAGCAGUGUCCAUCUUUUCUGAGCACUUCAAUUCCCUCUCUCGAUUUAAAAAAAAGCCCUCAGAAAAAAUAAUAAUGCUGAUGCUCACGUUUUCUCGGUAUGUUUCAAAUGGCCACAUUUUCAUCAACAGCACUCAAAGAAACUCCUGAGAACUGAAAGCUCUCGUGAUUAAAAGGCACCAGUCAAACAUCUUUAGUGCUUUUCUUCUUUUAACCUUUUUUCUCUUCUUUUGCGAGUCACAACCAGCCAUCUCGUUUCCUUAUCUUGCAAAUGCUCUAGAGAGUUAUAUUCAACUUUCCACAAUAUUGUCAGUAAACCAUCCUGAAUUUUGUUACCUCUCUAAAGUAACUCACCUAACUCCACCCUGUGCUUCCAAACCCCCUCUCCUAUAUGAUCCACAGCUUUGGCAGACGUCCUUGAUUGCAAUCAGGUUGCUUUCUGAUGCCGCUCUGAUCUUCUUUUUCAGGCAUCUCCAAGACGAGUCAUGUAUCUUCUUCUAAGCAAGAGCUAAUUCCCAAAGAGAGGAAACUUCCUUUUAUUGGUCUUGAUUUAUCUCCUCUUUCUACCUGUGUCUGAUGUUAAAUUAGUUCCAUAUUUAGGUCCCUAAAGCCUUUUCUAAGUUUUUAACACUUAGGACUUUUAUUUUCACAGUUUCCUUCAUUCAUGCUCCCAGUUGAAUAUAUUGCUAAAUCAUCCCUGUGGGCGAUAUUUCUGCAGAGCAACUUUUUGUUUAAGGGUAUAAAGUUUGUUCAAGUCCUUGUGUGACUUGCCUUCUGGCUUUUCUGAUCUGCACUUGACCAAAUAUUUGAAAGGCAGUGAUGGGUUUUGGAGGCUUAUCUGAAAAAAGGUUAGUUAAACAUAGAAGGAGAGAUUUUUUUUUAUUUCAACAUACACUGUUAAACCUAGGUAUCUUUCCACAUCUGUUUUUGGAAAAGAAACACAGCUUUUUGAAAGCUCAGUGAACAUUGGGUUACAUGUUUUUUGCAGACAUUGACUGCACUUUAUACCUGUUACAAAAACCAGGAGGUCUGGCUUUAAAGAGAGGGAUACAGAAAGAGAACCAGAGUGAAAGAGGGAUCAAUACCUCACCUGGAGGGCUGAACAGAAGGCUAGCCUUUUCCUCUUCUAAGUGAACAGCACACCUCAUGAUGUUACACACACAUCAAAACGUCAAGGACAGUUUGGAGCCAGUGUGUCUAUGUGUGCAAGUGUGAGUGAUACUCUGUAAUGCUCACGGUGGUUGGACCAGGUGGCUUUCCAGGUGUGUGGGAGGAAGUAAGCCUUGGCAGACAGAUACGAUGGGCACAAGUUUCAAAGCGGACACACAGAUACACAAGCACACUGACAUGGACACAUAUUGCAGCCUAUUGCUGAUGAGGUGGUUAACUUCGCUCUCAGAGGAUGAAGGAGAAGAUAACCCUGAAGAUCAAGCUAUCAGUAGACCCACAAGCACUCCUUGAAUGUGAACUACUUGUGUCCCUGUUGGCAUGUCUCCUUUGCUUCUAGCAGUACUCAUUUCAGAGUUAACUGUUACAACAUUUUUUUUUCACUCGAAGUGAUCUGUGUCAGAUUGUGGUGUAAACAAGUCUUGAUCCUGAGUGGAUCAACGUGAUCAAGUCUGUCUUAAUUUAGAGUUAUGAAAAUGUGAUUAGCAAAAAUGACUCGAUCCUCUAGAGUUUCAGGCUCCUCUUCACCUUCAUCCACAAAGCUGUCAAUGAGCUUUAACGCUUACAGGCAUUACAGUCAAGCUCAGUUUAGAAACAGCUGGUGAUCUGAUCACUUCAGCUACACUGGUCCAUAGCUUCCUCAAACCUUACUUCAAGAUUCUCAGUCACGCUUGGCACAGGUUUGAGUCUAAGUCCUGAUUUCUGAACGACACGAAUCCAUCAUGCUCUGUCAGUGCCACACAUAUCAAAGGUGACCACCUUUCCAUUCUUGUCAUGAUUGGGUUUUCUCCACAAGGAGUACUGCAGCAUGUUCCCACUCAUCCCAGGUGAAGGUGAGGGUAGGGUCCAUUUUUGACGGGGCCUAAACCCAGCACAUGAGGAUACUGACCUGGACAGGGACUCAAACAUAGAAAACAGCUUAUAGCGUCCUGUCAACGCCACGUAAUUCCUGACUUUAUAUCAGAUGUAUAUAGAAAAGAAAUACUUAUUGAUGAACAUGUUGUAAACCACAACAUAACAGCCAUACCCAUGAUCUCUGAUGACCACAACAUGACAUUAUGCCGUUGACUUUGUCUGUAGUUAACACAACAAAGUAGAAAAUACUUAUAAAUGUUGAACACAAUUCAAAUUGCAAAAAGCAAAACUUAAUAAUUAUUAGGGCUGGGACAAUAAGCUUUUCUCCUGAUUCGAUUCUUCUACGAUUUUUUGGAUGCCAAUUUGAUUUAAAUUGCGAUUCUACGAUAUUGCCGAUUUUCUCGAUUUUUAGUCUGAAUUUUUAACACCAGUGAAACAGUUGAAUGGUUAUGAUUGUCUACUGACUAUUCCAGGAACCAUAUUUCCCUAAAAAAUACACAUCACAUGUAAGUCAGUUUUUAAAAUUUAUCCUUAAAUUUGAACAAAAAAAAAAAAAAAGAGAUUUUUGAACAUAAAAAUUGACUUAAAAAUUGUAAAACAAGAAAUCGAAAUACUUUUGUAAAUUGAUUUUUUUUCCCCACCCUCAAUGAUUAUAUAUCAUAUUUACAACUGAUAGAAGAGGUGUAAUCACAGAAUUAUAUGCCAUAAUCUGUUGUCAGUGUGUUAUGUGUUUGCUGAGCUCAACUGAUGGAACAUAACACACAUAUGUGUCCUGUGGGUUUGAGUUGCAAUAUUCGGUAGAAGCCAUGACCGAGAUAAGAGAUGAGACCGACUAGGCUAGCAACCAGCUGGUGCACUCGGUCCCUAAAGUUUUAGUAUCCUAAUAGGAAAACACAGGCAAAGAAAUCAAAACAGUUUCAGAAGAAAAUUCCCACAUUAUCUUAUCUCAAACAUGAACACACUAAAAAAUAUGAUCAUAAUGACACAUCAUUCACUACAUGGGAUUUUUUUGAAAUAUAAGGCAUCUAUCCUCUGUCUGUAAACUUAAGUUGCAUUACCUUAUAAGAUUUCAAUUCAUGCAUUUCUAUCUAUUUUAUUUGUGGUUAUCUAUUUGUCUUGUGGUUUCCAGACUUGAAAGAGUUGGGAAAUUUUUCAGUUCUGAUGAGUAACAUUGCCAGCGUGACUUUCAUAAAAUGGAUUAUAGGGGCUCUAUGGGACAUAUUAAUAUGAUAAUGAUGUGUGCAACUGUGCACUAACAAAGUGACAUGCAUAAGUAAAAAGAAACUGAGCAAAUAUGAAAGAUGAAUUUUAUAUUUAUUUGUUAAGCAUGACACGAACAAUCAACAAACUAACAGCGUAUGUGUUUAUUCAAGACAGAAACUGACACAGCGGGAUCAUAGAACGUACAGCAGAGACAGUACACAAACAACACUUCCCUUCCUUCUGUUCCUCUUGCUGCCAUGCUUUUCACUAAAAAUAUCUUCAGGGCUUCCUCCUACACUAUCAAACAGUUGUUUGUCCUCAUUAUCAUAACUCAUUAAUCCUGAUCAGACUCAAUCCCACUAUAUUUUUCACUGUGCCUUUUUUCCCCCUUAUUUUGGCUUUUUUCCUCCCUCUCUCCUUCUCUCUCUCUCACAAAUAUAUUUAACAGAGAGAGAGAGAGAGAGAGAGAGAGAGAGUUGCACUUUCAUUUGUUGCCCCCAUUCAUAAUUCAAAGGGUUUGAUCAGACAGAAUGUUUGAUAAGGUUUACAGUCUAAGCCUGCCCGGGCGGAGAGAGGGACAUCACAGAUAAACAGUCAUCAAUAUACAGUAUACAUGUUUACUCUCAACAGAUGGAGUAUGAGGCGAUGUAAAUGUUACUACACAGCAGAAAUGGAGGCAUUAGGGCUUUCAAAGGCCUCAAGUAUUACAUUUUGGAUAAAUUUUCAAAAGUUGAACUACUUAAACUUAGUGAAGAAACACAUUACUACUGAUUUCUUGAUGGUUUGUUACAGCUGUGUCUUAGCUGCUGCAACUUUUAGUCAGAGUAACCCCAUACCUCUUGGAUUCGUCCAACAGUCAACAAAAGUAUGCUUCAAUUUGUUAAUCUUCAUUUAUCUACAUAGAAUGCAUCAUUGAGUAUUUUUAGUGUAUUCCACAUACAUACUUGCCACAAAGAAAAUGCUGAAUGCACCAUGAACAGCAUGAAAUCUGUCGGGAGGAAAGACAGAAACCAAAAUAACUUAUAAAUAAGAAAAAUGGAUAUCUCUCAUCUAGUCCUUGACAUUCACACACUGUUACACAAAUUUACUCAGUAGGGGUGAGUAGUAGCAUUUACCACUGCAUUUUACAGAAUUGGCUGUGAACAUUUGUGAUCAUGAAAACAUUAAUACCGGACACUGAGACGGAGAGACAGAGAUAGCGAGAAUACAAGUGGGAGAGCAAGACAGAGAUUGAUAGAAAAAGUAAAUCCAUCCCCCAAAAUAAAGGCUAAUCCAAACUGAGUCUGAUGGAUAAGUUGGUAAAUUGAGUAAACAAACUCAUCCCUCCCCUCAUUAUAAGGUGCUGAGAAAUAUCUUGUCAAACUAAUGGAAUUCAAAACAAGUCGGUUUGGUUCAGAUGGGGAUAAUGUUGGAUAAAUAUGAGCUACAGAGGGAAAGAGCAAGGGGUGAAGGAAAAUAUGAACAGAAAUCUGCCCAGUAAAUUAUGAUCCCAAGUCGAUUUGACAGACUUGUAGACAAGGUAGCAACAACAACAACAAACCUGAAUUGCAAAGUUCACACCAGAUAAUGUGCUGGAGAGGGAGCGAUGGAGAUUUUAAAAAGUAGGAGAAGAAAUAGAGUCAAGGAUGAAAGAGAGGAGGCAAAAAUGGGGCUCGGUGAGUGGGAGGCUCGUCAAGAAACAAUAUUUGCCGCUUGAAUUUGUGAUAACAAGUCUAUGCUUUGUGCUGGAUAGACAGGUCUAAAUAUCACACAAUACUCGGCCGAGUCUGUUGUGCACUGAUGCAAAACACUUCAGGGAGACCUGGAGAUUGGCUGGCCUUCUUUCGCAGUAGAAAUUCUCACUUGUCUAUUCUGUACUGCACAUUUUUAGUUUGUACACGCAAUUCUGCAAAACACUUAAUGAGAGGGACUACAAACAAACACUGACAUGUUUAUUAGGGCUUUUUUAUCGGAUGAAAACAACAUAACUGUGAGGAACAAUGAGGCACCAAUGCUCCUCCAAUAAAUCAGGAAUACAAGAUUAAUUCUUUCAUGUAGUUUGACUGAUACUUUAGCAAUGAAGUCAUUUGAAUGCAACCCUUAUUUAUAUGUUUGAUAACUGGUUACUUUUAUAGCACAUGCUAAUGUCGCACAAUCCUGAAGAUAUGCUUUUUUUGUUGUUGUUGUUUUGUUCAUUUUAGUUUUGUUGUUGUUGCUGUUUUCCAGCGAAAAAAAUCUAGUCUGGUGAAAGGCAACAGCCUAAAAUGUCAUUUAUGGUAAUAUUUUCAUCUAUUUUUUAUUGUAGCAGCUGCUGGUGUGCAGGCUUUAUUUUUUCCUUUUUUAGAUUUGAUUCAAUUUUAGAAUUUAAAAUGAUGGCAUCCACCUUUCUAGCCAUAAAAGUAGAAGGUAUUUCUUACAAUCAGGCUUAUAGUGGAAUUGCUACUUUCUCAGCAUUAUUUUUAUAGUAUCCCAUCUCUGUCCCAGGGGGCUCUAUUACAUAUACAGCCUACAACAACCUCUGUCUUUAAACCCUUGCUUAAAAUGCCUUGGAUGCAACAUCAAGGUCCAACUCUUCCACUGACCUUCCCUGAUCACUACCUUGGCCUUGCAGAGCUAGCAUAGUGGAGAAAGGACCAGUCAUUGCAUAGUUGUAUCAAUGAUUUUUUUUUUCUUAUUCCCUGCAGACAGAAAGUAAAGGUAUAGGAUCAUAAAAAUACAGGAGCAUUUGAAAUGCAAUCAACUGCAGAAUGUAAUGCCUUUUCUCACUCUGGUAUGUCCUCUAAGGUUUAUGUGUGGAAAAUGCAAUGGGACCUCAUCAUGGAGUAUUAUAAAGAGUAAUGAGGUUACAAAUGGGACCAGUAGAAAAAACCUGGUGAUAUGGUGGAUGUCUUGGUUUGUGAUGUGGAUGAUGAUGUAUCCAGAGUCUCAGCACUGAAAGGAUUGUUGCCUGGAUUAUAAAUGCAUUUUCUUUGCAUCACUGAUAGGUUGAUUUUUAGGUGAUGUUUAAUAAAGUUAGCCAUAGAGAAAAAUAAUGCUGAAGAUGUUUGUGCAAUUCAAGUCAACAAAAUUCAACAAAUGUUAUUUCCACAGUGACGGCGACUAAUCAAUCAUCGUUCAAGAUUCAUACUAAAGGUCCUUACACACCAGGAACGACGCAAAUAUACAAUGUUAAAUUACAAAUUUUGAACCGCCUGACUCUACACAUCAAAUGUGAUGCGAUUUUGCGACUUUCUGGGGGGAAAAAAAGACGCAUUCCUGGUGGAAGCGAGAAGACUGACACAACAGCAGACUGACUGUUUUUCAGUUCUGAUUAGACACUAGUGUUGAGAUGUCUGUCUGUCAUCAUAGCAUGUACUGAGUCAGGGCCAGUACCAGAUAAGAACAUUAAACUAUAAUCCAUAAACGUAAGGUAACAACUGAGACCUAAUGGUGCUGUGACAGCAACUUGAUUGAGUUUGAGACAGUGAAAAUACAUAUGGUAUGUUGUAUCUGAACAGGUUAGCUUACGAGCUAAAGUUACUCAGCACAGAUGAAAGUUAAAACAAAGACAUUUAGAAAACUGUUAAAGCACACAAACCAUCGUCAUAUGAGAAAUCCGACACUUUGACUCUCCACAAGUUGUCCUUCAGGUCGUUAUCUUUGUAAUGUUUGUGUUUUUAAUCAAAAAGCACUCUGUUCUCCGACACCUCAACAAUCAGCCGGUCGGCCAUAUUGGAUAUACUGGUGAAUCUGACGUCGCAACAACACGCAAUCUGAUUGGUCAGAAGUGGACACACAGUAUGCAAAACUUUAGAAAAUUCGACUGUGAUACGAAAAAAUAAAUGCCGCAAUGUCGCAGGAAGGGAAAACAUCGCUGAUGUGAACGCUUGUAUUGACAGGAUACAGGUUCAAAAAAAAUGUUGACGUCCGAAAUAAUCGCACAAAAAAAAACGCUCUCAGUAUGUAAGGACCUUUAACAUCAAAAUUAUCAUCAUAAUUAUCACCAUCAUCAUCAUCAAUAGCUUUAUUGUCAUUUAGUGCAAGGAGGGGUACAAAAGUGCUAAUUCUAGAACAUUUAGACUGAUUUAAAAAAUUGGGAUUUUAGUUUUUUUUCUUUAAAGAUCCUACUGAUUUAAUAGAAUUCCUUCCACCACUGGGGACAACGGGGGAAAAGGAUCAGAUUAGUGACCCAAGGCCCAGGUGUGAAUGGGAAUAAGGCACCUUUCAUUGGCCAAGCUUAGCAGGUGGGAGGGACUGAUGACCUAGAUGAGGGGUUGAUAGGUUGCAAGUAGGCAGGAGGUGUUUUAAUGUUGUUGUUUUUUGUUUUUGUUGUUGUUGUUUUUGAGCAUCACAUGAGUUCUGCUCAGCUGAUAACCUUGCCUGCAUUCAGUUGAAAUUUUCCAGAAUGGAAAUCCUAUUUAAACUUCAACAGCCUGUUUCAUUUGUGCUUUGCAAUCCUACUAUUUUUAAGCACAACUUCAAACAAUUGGAUGCACAGGUCAACAUUUUUAUUAUCUAUUACAGUGAGGUGAAGUGAAUCGUUCUUGUGUUCAAGUCUUUAGCUAAGGAAGAUAUGCAUUCCUUCUUUACUUAUGCUCCUAUUCAAUCAGCCUCUCCACCAUGGUUAUGAUGCUGAUCCCCUCCACAAAGUGUUUAGCUUACUCCAUACAAACAAUCCAUGCAUUUGUUGGAAAAAAACACUUUGCAGCCACACAGGUCUCUGCAUCAUCCAGCAUUUCACUUUCUUUGUUUUACACUGGCCUUCACUGCUACAGCUUCUCUCUGUUAAGAAAUCGUCUUAAUGUUUCAAGGUUGCAGCUGCUGUCCUCACUGAUCUCUGGUAAAACUAACAAUCCACCAUCACAGUCGCUUUGCAUGGAUGGUCAGAUCAGUUAAACUGAUGUUUAAAUAAUUGAUUUACAUCCUACAUGUUAAGAGUUUAUACCCUGGUGGGUCGAAGAUCUCUAGCUUUUUGCUUUCUGAUCAUACUCCACUGUGAUGGGUUGCAGACAACAAUCUCACAGCUAAGUUUCCUUUUUUCCCCCUUUGUUAUUUAGCUCCAUGUUGGGCAGAAGUUCUGUAAGGGAUGUUUGGAAGAUGGAAAAGCUGGCUGUUAUUGCUGAGCUGGGCCAAAUGAUCUGGAUACCAAAAAAAAGAGACUGAAUUCGCAUAAUUUCUCAAGCUGUUUUAAAUUACUACCACAUCUUGUGAGUAAAGACCGACUGGGAAUUGUUUGCAAUCUAUUUUCACCGAAGCAGAAAAUGAAACAACAAAGUUCAACGCAAUAAAAUGCAGUUUGAAAGAUUUAAAACAUCAUUGUUUUAAUGAAACUUAACCUUUGAGCUUCUUUACCUGGUAAUCCAUCAAUAUUGCUGUAAGACAACUUAUCAUGGUCUCAUUCUUCUGAAAUUAAAACUUAAAACGUUACCUGCCAUUAUGCUUUAUAAGUGCAGCACCUCCAGUGUUUUUUUUGGCCUUUGGAGUUAGGAGAGGGUUUCAUGUCAUGGUCGUUUUGGAGUUCUUGCAGCUGCUGCUCUCCCUGCCUUGGUUUUUGAUGGAUGCAGAUGAGAUGGGGAGGUUGUGUGCUCUACCCACUCCAGGCUUUGGCUUUUCCACACAAGCACGUAGAGGGACAGAGAGCUCUCAGAAAGAAACCAUGCUGCCAAAUAUAACUAUUGCAUAAAAGUAGUUAAUUAUUUUAAUGAAAGUGGUUCUAACUGAACUAAAUCCACUUUCUAUGCAGCUCUUACCUACAAAUGCAUCCAUCAGAGGACAAACAGAAAAACUUUUCAUCCAAAUCCAAAUACCCUCUCUCAUAUUUGGCCAUAAAAAAACAAGUGUUCCCAAGAAACCAAAGUUCAUCCGCUGUAUGAUGAUCCAUGAUUUGUGAAAAAUUGGAGGCUAUAGGUAGGAUGUUUAAUUCUGUGCUUUUAUUGUGAAGGGGAAAAAGCAAUGACGAUGCGUAUUACCAUUCAUUUAUAUGUGCCAAGGCUGUUCUUUUUCCCAACUGUGCUGGCUUUUGAACACAGAAACACAUUAGCAGCAGAAAGCUGAAGAAAAAUCUGUUGAUUUCUCCCUCAUUUAUGCUGGGUCCCUUUUAGAGGAAGCUGAAAAAGACGGGGACAUGUGGCUGUGGUAGAAAAGAACAUAUGGCAUCUGCUCUAGUGGAAAACCUAAUAUGGGGUUGAGUAUUGGCACCCAUCGCCUCACUAGCAUUAACAUGCUGUCAGAGUUGUUCUGGCAGAACACUAAGUGGAGCACACUUGUCCAGCACAGUUCCCAAGAGUACUGCAGAGUGUCCCUUCCCACUUCCCAUCCACUCUGGACCAUGUCACCGGUGCUGAUUUAGGGAAGCAAGAAUAGUUACAUGCUGGAGGAUUUCUGUUUGUCAGAUCUUCAGCCAAACAUUCAGUUAGAAGUACUGUUCCAGUAAAUUUAACACAAACAUACCGCACACACAAAAAAGAAGUGAACAGCUGUGAGAUACAAGAGUAGAGUAUGCAUAAACUGAAGGAAUGUUAGCAUUUUAUUGAAGCAACAGUACAUUAAAAGACACAACCAUUUUUUUUUUUUUGUUUGUUUGUUUGUUUGUUUGUUUUUAAUGAAUUUACUUACAUACUGCUCCAAAACAAAGAAACAACCAACCAACCAACCAACAAAACAAACAAAACACAUCUACGACAACCACAUUCAGAGAAAAAGAAAGAAAUAAUAAUAAAGUUAAGCUAACAAGACCAGAUUGAACCAUUUCCUUUAAAUAAACUAUUAAAAAAAUAAUAAAAUCAAAAAUUUGAAUUGUAAACAGAGCCAGAUUUAUCAGUAUCCGUAUUUAUUGGUCUUCUAAAGGGAUUCAGUACCGGUAGAUUAAAUUAAGACUAAGAAAGAAAAAAAAACACCUAAAUGACAAAUUGUUUGUCAAUUAAAGGUGGGAUAGACAGGAAUCUGUUAAAGAAGCAUCUUUUUUUGUGGUGUAUAUACAUAAAAGCUUUUAAUAUCAGUCAAUAGCUAUUAGUUAUUGAUGACAUUUGGUUAUAAAACAAUAUCGCUGUGUUCUGUGAUGUCUGUGUAGUCAACAUUCAAAAUUUUUUGAGAAGCGUGCUCUUUCUGACUGUGAACAAGUCCAUUCUCCUGAGGCAGAAGCUGCUCCCCCGUGUCGUUCACGAGCCAAAACAGAGUCAGCGUGCUACAAUAUCGGACAGUACAAACCAACCAGAAAGUAUGGAAAAUUGUCUGAAUCCUCUGUUAGCCACGACUGCCAACACAAGCAAGAAAACGAAGUUAAUACCGGAGACUCUGUCGGAAUAACAAGCGCUUAAAAAGGAGGUAGACCGGACAAGAGCUAAAAAGCCGGGUCAACAUAAAACGAUAGGGGACGCUUUGGGAUCUUAUCGACCCUGUAACCUUUCUGCUGGACGGGUAAACCGCUUUAACAAAGUAAGCCAAGUGUCUGUAACAGAAGUGUUUCUUAUCGAACGGGACCUGCUGCAUGUUGUAGCGCCGCUAAACUGUUUACCUCGGGUCCUGGAGUUUGUCCCUUUAGUCUGUUGGCAUCUACAGUAGCACCAAUGCUGUUUACUUUCACGUUGACUGGGCCCCAUUUGUAAUUAUCUGAAGUAUUUAUCGGCAUGAUAUCUGAAUUUAACUGGAACGAUACGAGUGAGCAAGUGCGUCUGUUUGUGGGCGGGGCUUGCUGGAGCAGAGAGAGAGGGGAGAGGAGGAGCUGAGGGGAAAACUGUUUGGGAGGGGUAGUGUUUACAUUCAAGAUUUCUCCCAAAAGCUGGCACUUCCUCAGAUCCUGCCUACCCCACCUUCAAGCAACGAUAAUAUGAUAAAUAAAUACACAAAGAUCCUGAAUCUGAAGCUAAGUAUUCAAAUGUAAAAAUAACUUAUGAGAGAAUUCCAAUUCUUGUCUUUUGAUCUCACGAUUGCACUGCUUUUUCCUCCAUGGGAACCUCUAAUAAAAAGUAAUCAGGGUUUGAGUUUCCAUGCAAACCACUUUGUCGACUGCUGCAGUAUUCUAUCCUCUCCAUCUUCGCCCCUUCUCAUAAUCAUAUCACUGCUGUCAUUUAUUACCAUAAGACUGCAAAUGUAAGUUUGUGACACCGGAUAAGAAUGCAAUAAAAAUUGAGAGCGACAGGAGCUAGCUGCUCACUUAAAGAGAAAUAAAAAAGAUGAAAUAAAAAGAUGAAUGUGGAACAAUACGGGCUGGUACGUGGCUUUGAAGAGCGAUAAAGUAUGAAGAGGGGUUUUACAGAAUGUUAAAAAGCAGGAGAGGAGUGAAGGUUAGACUGCUGCUCUUUGACCAACUUUGCUUCUAAUUAUGCAUUUCCAGGGUUGUAGACAACCUGCAACCUUGCAGCUCCAAGAGCAGAGCGUUUUUUAAUUACUGCUUGACCUAAGAUGGCAUGUUGUGAGUGUGUGUAGAGUGUGUAUUGGAACAUUACUGUGCGUUAAUACUGGUACUCUUCUUUGCAUUUGUCUUAUUAAAAACUAAUAAGAGAUGGAGUUGAACAUUUGUGUCAACAUACUGAGCAAAUAUGACUUAUCCUUAUUUGGUUUUGAAUAUUAAGAUAGAUUUUCAUAAAUGUGUGUAUAUCUGCAUGUCCUGUACAUCUCAAACAUACACCAAGUGUGGGUACAAACAAGUACACACUUGAAAUAUUAAUCCAGCUUUACUUUACACUAUUUUUCAAUUAUAUUUAUCCUAAAUGCAUCACCAUCCAAAAUAAUUAAGCCUGCUACUGCAUAUUCCACACAACAUUUCCCUCAUCAUUAAGAGAUGCUAUCAUGUGCUCAAAUCAAAUAAUGGACAUUGCCAAUGAUAGCAACAAGUUCUCUAACCCACACGUUACUCUCUACUUUGUGAGCGUGGUGAGAACCAAGUUAUGUGCAAAAGGGCUGAAACGAUUCCUCGAGUACCUCAAUUACAAAAAAUGAUCAGUGAAUUUUCACCUCCCCGAGUACUUGUUAAUGAGCUCAAAUUGUCACUGUUUCGCACAGAUUAUUUUCAAGGUGACACAAUGCGCUUACGUCACCACGGUAGAGGGAGGAGUAAGCGCAGUUUUAGCUUUGCGGAGUGGAAAAAAUGAAUGACAAGAGGGGCUUUUCUUCCGCAGAGCUCCAGAAGCUCAUUAGCACUUCGUCUUGGAGUCGUGGGCGGAGACAGCGCUGCUCUGCCCACGACUCUUUACGCUAGCUUGCAGCUUCCCUAACAUUGCCAGUGUCGUAGCAGAAGCAGAUACCAUAGGAGCUAUUCAGCUUUCGGACUUAAACAUCUUUAGGGGCAUGAUGAAAGCUAAUAUCAUAAUAAGCUUUCUUACGAGCAGUGCAAACUGCUACCACACACGCUUGUUCCGCGAUUGUUCCACGAGAAUUGCGCUUUAACUAAAAAAAACAAUGUUUUAUCCGAUUAAUCGGUGGAAUAUUUGAUAGAAUACUCGAUUACUAAAAUAUUCGAUAGCUGCAGCCCUAAUGUGCAAUGUCCCCAUGGUGAGGGUCACUAAAAAAUGUACUUUUUAUUUUUUUUGAUUGAUGAUUUACUCCUUUCACUUAUUUUGUUGCCAUACAAUUAUAAACAGUUAUGCGGAUGACAGUUUGGUUGGUUUGUACUGACAUGAGCUCUCUUUCAGAUAGAGUGGUUUAAUGCACCAGGAAAUAACUGUAGCUUGACUAAUAGACUACACAAAGGCAAUGGCAUUAUAUUCAAGAUAUAACAUACAGGUUUUAUAUCGGACUCAAACCAGGGUCUGUUUUGUAAAAACCAUGAGCUAGUUUGAUCAGUUAUUCUUACAAAAGUCAUCCAAAAACUUGCCUUGCCUCAAAAACAAUCAUAAGAAAAAGCAGUAAUAAGUUGCACAGAGGACCUCCACAGACACAAUUUUGUGCUAUUCCAACUGCAUGCCCCAUCAUUUCUUCCUCCUGUUUUAUAAAAAGAUAAGUUCUACCAGCCAUAACAUUUUUCAUCUGUUUCUCACAGUCUGGCUCGACUUUAUGAAUCCAGUGUUGCCGCUCUGAAUCCAAGCUGACUGAUACUGCCAUCCUAUGCAAAACAGCAAUCUGUUUAUAGAGUUAUGGAGUUUUGAUGGAGUAGUCCCUUGAGGAAAGCCAGAUUUUAACAGCAUGAAUGACUUGAAUAAGAGUAUAAAUGACAGGCAGGUGAAAAUGGAAGAGUAAGGAGUGGCAGAGACAUCCAUAGCAGAGAUUAGUGCAAUUGCUUGAGUCUAAAAAUCCAUGGCGAUGUCAGCGUGAGUGGCUGUAAAUAUAAAACGCUGUAACAGUUUGCUGAUGCUGCGUUGCUGUGGACCUUUUAACCCCCUACAACGGCUGAAUGAUGCAGCUCCCUAGGAAACAAAUUUCAUCUCUGCUUGUCAUUAUCACAUUAACUCUGCAUCAGCUGUCAACAAAGGGCCGCGGCACACACACACACACAUACACACACACACACUCAUCGUCUUUCUUCUCCUUGACUAAUCUCCAAACAAAGCUGUGAAUGUUAGCCUCUAAAAUCCUUUCACUUUGAAUUUUGUUGAAAAAAAAUCCCUGGAGGAGAAUAAAGAAGGACGAUGCAGGCGAAGAAAGAGAUGAAGAGACGAGCGCUGGCCAACUCCUGCGGAGACCUCUUUGAUAGAUGCAGAGUUCUUCCAAAAGGGAGUUUGCUUCAUUUGCAAAUCUCUGUGCACGGGCUGUAGGCAUUUUGUGCGUCUAUAUUUAUGUCACUGUACAUGCAUGACUCAUUGUGUGUACUGUAUGCAUACAGUAGGCUCGAAAUGCAAACAUCAGGCCUGUGAAGGGUUGCCUUUGUAUCCAAAAAAACACUUUCCAGUUUUGCUUUUUUUUCAUUCUUUGCUUAUUCCUGAGUAUAGGGCUCAUUAUCUGAAUGUUGGAAUUCUUAUUGUUAAAUCUGUCUUGUAUCCUUAAAAGAGCCAUUACAUUACCUUGAUGUUGUACGAUACAGCAAAUUAGGCUUACUGGAAUCCAACUCUAAUAAGAUUAAGUCCUCCUUUCCUCCUGUUCAAAAAAAGUGCAAAAAGUGGGAGAGUGUACUGCUCUUUUGCUAAACUGACAAAAGCUGGGAAGUCCUGGUUUUACUCUUUCUGCAUGAGAGAGAAUUUAAGUCAUUAGAUUGCUGUACUUUGGGGACAGGCUUAAAAAGAAUAGAGCACAAACAGGCUGAGCUGCAUAUUUGAUUACAGCCUCUAUACUCUGCUCUACCAAGCAUCGCAGAGGAGAGGAGAAAACUGAAGAAAAGAAAACCAAUACCGUUAAUUGGAGAAAGAAAUACAGAUAUAAGAGCAGUUAUGGAAUUACAGAAUAUGCAUAAGGUGAGAAAAAUGGCAAGGGAUUGCAGAAAUGAGAAAACCUGCCAGGGUUUUGCAUGUGUUAUGCUUUAAUUGCAUAUUUUCCCUGUAACUUCAUUGUUAUGACUCAGAUCACCUGAGCCUAGUUUGACUAAAGAAGCUCUAAAUGCUGAGAGGGCAACCCAAAAAAAUGCUGAACAUACACACAGAAGAUUGUCAGAGUAUCAUCGCAUGGCAUGAACUUCUUUGUAGCCGUGUCAAGACAGAUGACACCAGAUGACAAACACUUCAACUUACAACCAUCAGAGUUAUUAUGUAACGCACCAAGCUUUCCUCUUGAGUUACCCUCUUGCCACAACAAAUCCGGCUUGUUUAAUAGGGUUUAUGAAUCUGUCAGCAAACCGAGAAUCACAAGUUUUUAAGCCAUGAGAUGGGUCGGCGCAAAACACAGACCUAAUAUGAAUGAACAGAAAGGAUUAUCUGGGCUUACUGGGCGACGGGCUAAAGACGAGACAGAUCGCGUGUGUGACAGUCAUGGUGGUCUCAGUCUUAUCACAGGGGUGUCAGACAUGAAAUAAAGAUCCUUUGGGGAAUACUUAAGAUGCCAAGAGGAACAAUCUCUUCUCAUAGUUACAUCUAACUGACCUGAAGUGUGCAAACAACUCACAAGGCAUUAUCAUAGACUGUAUAUACUACGGACAACUUGGUUCCGCCUUCGCCAGUAUACGGAUUUCACGCCGAAAAACUAGGUAUUUUCGCGAUUUUUCUUCACUUUAUGAAACCAACAUUGCACAGUAGCAUUGCAUGCAUUCAGUGGGAGAGUCGCUGUGAUGACGCUUGGCUCAAAUGGCGUAUCCCCUGGGUGAGCUACACAAGCUUCUUACGCCCAUAGGCUGUAUCAAAUGUCAAUCAUAGAAAACAUGAACCCCCUGUACAGAAAAAAAAAAAAAAAGAAUUGGUAUUUUGGUGAGUGCUGCAGCCCGGCGUAAGUAUCCCCCUUCCCUGACUCUGCUCCUUCCAGCGGCAUAAGUGGCAGAGAGGGAGGGGAUAAGGUGUGAAGUGGGUUUAACACAGCCGAGUCCUGUUGACAGCAAGACAGCAAUGAUGAUGACAGAAGGCGGCCCCUCAACAAGUGUCACUGUAAGCGCUGCGGCGAGCAUGAAAAUGUCACUGCGUCAGCUGAUUCUGUUGACACCUCCCCCUACGGCACCAUCAUGCCCUGCUUGGUGGACCUCAGUGUGCCUCAGUCUACAAAAAUACCAAACUGGCUGUUUGCCGGGCUCCACCAGAUGAAAAUACCACUGCGUGGGGUGCGCCACCCUUCGCUGCGCCGCCAGCGGGCAUGAAAAUAGAACCCUACAUGUCAACAUCGCAAGCAGGGGGGAGGAAAAUUUAUAUUCUGUGUAAUACAUUUCGUAAGUUUGUCCACAGCUUUAUAAGCUUUGCUGGAGGAGGCAGGAUUUAUGACCUAUACUGCAGCUCGUCACCAGAGGGUGCUGUUCUCGAGGUGGCUUCACCCAGCAAGGAGGCAGACGGCGUCCAUUCUAUAUACAGUCUAUGGUCAUUAUCUGUAUUUCUUGCAUCGACCAAACUGCUUCAAGUUCAUGAUGGCUACACUGGCUUCCUCAAUUUGGAUCUAUAGUGCAGCAAUUUCAAGGAAUAAAGAUUUAAAAAUGGGUAAAAGACAUGCAAUCUGUAUUUGUGACGUAUUAGUGUGGCAUGACUAGUGUGGCAAAAUAAGAAAAGUCAUGCAGUUUUGAAGUUGGUUCAUGGUGGAAAAACAACGUAUAAAUUAGCAUCUCUGAGUAAUAAGCACUAUAGGAAAUCGUGAUAUGCUAACAGACAACUUCACCUUCACAAGGACAGGCUGAUCCGGCUUCUAAAUAAGCAGCCAAACUGCCCCCCCUCCCUGCUCUUUUCGGUUCCUUUUAACUUGCUCUGAGGCUUUACUGAAAGUAUCGGGUAAAUUUAUUGAGAAUGUUUGCCUUUGAUUCAGCUGUGUGUGAGUGGGUGCGCGUGUGUGUGUGUUACAUUAUAAUCAUGCCUCAGAAGUUGCCGCAGUGGCAGCAGAAGCCAUAGACACAGGCAGAACAAGCCCCAUAAAGGGGUCCAAAUGGGAAGCCCUGAGGAGGUAUUGAUGUGUUGCUUUACCCAAAGGCCUCUCACCCAGGUAGGAAGGUGGCACGCCAAGCUCAGCAGUUAACCACAGUUUGAACUCAGGCAGAGACAAAGUCAAUAAAUCAGCAGCGGCAUCUCCUGUGAAGGAGACUGGCAGCUGUACUUCUCUUCACCUUGACAGAUAAAUGACGUGGCUCAACUAUCCCUUAAUCUUUUCUUUACCUCGAUAAUCCCCCCUCCCCACCUUUUGUUUUGUUUGUCUCUUGCUGUGAAUCUCACUUGGACUCUACGAGUUUCUCUUGCAACUUCUUUCUCCUCUCUUUUACUUCCAUUCCUAAUAAUUCUCUCCGAUCUGUCCUCUCAUCCUUUGGUUAUUUGAGGACAUGGCACAGCUUUAUGUCUCAGGCCACUAAAGGACUUUUAGAAGUCAGUGAGAGGGAAACUGACAUGGGAUCCCUGGGUUUCUACAAACACAGAUUCAUUCACACACAGCCGUGUUAAGCUCCUACAUUCUCCACAAAGAGCUUCACUCCCACAAGGCAAGACGCCACAGAGUAAAAAACAAAGAAAUGGAAUGUUUUCUCUCCGUCCUCCCCUUUCCUUCCCCUCCACUCCUCGCCUCCCCCUGCUGUAGUCUUCAGUAGCUCUCUGCAGUGCAGUACAAACAUGCAGAGUGAUCAAAGAGACCAGGGUGUCAGAAGCCGGGGACAAGACGGACGUGUGUGGAAGACAAGAUGAGAGACAGCAGCAGGAAGAGAGAGCUGUCAAUCAGACUUUCAAUCACACUUGGUGGAAGUUUGUAUCUCAGUGGCAUGACAGGGGACUUCUGAGCUUACCUGGAGGACCAUCAGUGUCCUAUCAUACCGCCUGUUUUGAUGAAACUGGCUGUUUUUCUUCAUGCCUGUAUGUCAUACGACAAAUGUGAACAAAUAUCCAAAUCAAUAAACAAUAACAGUGAGACAUGUCAUUGAUGCAUUCUGUUUUAAAACCUACAUAAAACAUUAAAAAGUGAUAACUAAUUGACGGAUUAAAAGUGUGUUUGUUUCUUGUUGAUCAGAAAUGCAUUAAUUUGGAUAUAUGGUAUAAAAUAGGAAAAUAAAUAUCUUUAAGCUGUUUUUAAUUGAAUAAUUAAGAAAUAUAAAGUUAAAACUGAUGGGUCACUGAAGAAAAAUAUUUUAUUUGGUAAACUUUGCUUGAUUUACUAACGCAGUCUGUAAACCCUUAAAGAGAAUUUCCAUGAUUUUAUUUAUUUAUUUAUUUCUAAAUAAAGAGAAAUACAUGUUAAUAUCCAAAUGACAGGUUUUUUUUUAGUAGCUUUCUCCUGUCUGACUCAUGGAGUCACAGCACCCUCUUCAGGAUCCAGAGAGAAGUACAUUUUCUGAAGUCCUUAUAAAACAGUUUUGUGUGUGGGUGUUUCUACGUGUGGAGAAACAAAAACAAAGGAAGACAGUUACAGGGCUUUUUUUAAACCAAAGUUGAUCUUUAUUUGGCAAACUUAAAAAAGAGGGAGAUCAUUUAUCCUGAACAACAAACAAUCAAUGUAUUUACAUGUUUUGUAUUAUCAAAUACACCUUUGAUACCAAAUACAUGAAAUUGUAACAGACAUGAUACUUGAUUUCACCUUCUCCUCUGGAUUAUUGAUCUAAAGCAUCAGUAUUCUUCUUGUCUCUGUCUCUAUCUCACUAUUUCUCUGGCCAUUGAGGGAAAGCCUGUCUGGGCUGGAAGUAAAAUCUCAAUAUCUGUGGGUUACUGUUUACCUGUACUGAUUCAGGGUGUCAAUAAUGUGGAAACACUUUAGCCUAGCAAGACACUGCCUUCUCAAUCAUCUAUUUUUUCACUCAUCAACAGUAAAACACUUACUACAACAUUUAAUUUUCGAGAAUUGAUAUUGAAUGAUCAUAUUCACAGAAAAUGUACACAACAAAAGUGCACCUUACAGUUUUUCUUCCCUUGAAGUGAUGUACUGUGGCUCACUUUAUAAAGGUUGUUCCUUUUUUACCUGAAGUGUCCUAAAUCUGAGUCUAGCCUCAAAGAUCAACACCGACAG